rnacentral:lncRNA from 1 species
AAAUUUACCUCAAAUAGUUCUAUAAUAUAUGUAAGAUAUAGGGAUAAUUUCAUCAAUACCCCUUUGAAAAAUCAUAAUUUCAUGAAUAACCUUCUAAACUAGAAAAUAUCAUCAAUACCCCUCUUAAAAUAAAAAAUGUUCACAGAUACCCUUUAGGUUCACUUUCCGUCAAGUGGUCAUCCAAUAUUUUAUAAAUACCAAUUUUACCCCUAACAACAUUUUAAAUAUGUAAUAUUUAAGAUUAAUUAUCUGAUCAAUUUUUAACAUUUGAAUCACAUAAUAAUUUAACAUUAUUUUUAAAAUAUUUCAAUUAAAGAUCUAUAGUCUAUUAAGUUUAAUAGCUAAAUCUCAUUAUGAUUUUUCGCUUUUAAAUUAUACAUAGUUAUAAUGCAAUUUGUCCAUAAUAGAAUUCAACAUUAACUAUUUAAAGAUUUAUUUUUAAAAAUAUUAUUAAAAUAACUCACAUAUCUCAUGCUAAAAAUAUUUUGAUAUCAAAAUUUUCGAUAUUAGAGUAUUACUUAUAUGAUUUGCUCAAACAAAAAAUUUUAUGAAAUUGCCCCUUAAUUAUUUGCUAUCAAAAUAACACCUAACCUUUUUAGGGCUAAAUUAGUCAUUUUGUAACUCAACCCUUAUUUAACCAAACUUUAACCAUGGUUAUAGUAACAGCCGUUAGAAGGAAGGACAAUUGUGAAAAUUUUUUGCAUUUGAAGGGGUAUAUAUGAUAUUUUUAACUUUGCAGGGGUAUCUACGAUAUUUACAUAUUUGAGAGGGGUAGUGAUGAAAUUGCCCCCCUAAGAUAUAAUAGGGUUAAAACUCUUAAUCCGACUUAAAUAUUUUGGAUGGUUGUUAGGCUCAAGAGAUUAAGAGAGAUUAGCGUGUUAGGACGGAAGUAAUUCUAGAAUGGGUGACCCUAUAAGAAGUUGGGGUAUCACAGUUGGUAUCAUAACCAAUUACCAGCUGAAAGUAUAAGAUAAGUCUCGUCUAAGUCAUAGUUAUACAGCGGAAAGAGCGAGACUCUAAUAUUGUUGACUAUUGUGGAUAGACCGCAGUUUCCCCACAUCGCUCGGUACUUAUGAGUCUGAGCCAGACGUCAAAGUUUAGAGGGGAGAGAAUGUUAGACCCCAAAUAAUGGAAUUAAAACUCUUAGUUCGGCUUAAAUAUUUUCAGUGGUUGUUAGACUCAAGAGGUUAAAAAAGUUAAGCGUGUUACGACGGAAAUAUUUUUAUAAUGAAUGAUCCCUGAGACGUUGGGGCGUCACAGUUUAGCAUCUAAAAUCAAGCACACCUCCAAAAAUAUAGUGUAGAAUAAUAUUGUACUUCAAAAUAUAUUAUAUGUUUAAUAAAAGGGAAAACUUCAAAAACCCCUCAUGUGGUUUCCAACUUUCUCACUUUAGUACCUUGUGGUUUAAAGUGUAUCAAUUUGCCCCCCUGUGGUUUUGUUUUUAUUUUUUCUAUAGCUUUUUUCUUAAUAUUUCGUUAAAUUAUAUGCAAAAAAAAUCAGAUAUUCAUAUAGAUUUACCUAAUAUUUACUUUAGUACCCCUUAAUUUUAAUUUUGUCACUGAUUUGAGAAAAAAAAAUAAUAAAACUGAUAAAAAAAGAGAAAAACGAAACCACAAGGGAACAAAUUGAUACAUUUUAAACCACAAGGUACUAAAAUGAGAAAGUUGGAAACGGGGGGGCGGGGGAGUAUCCAAUAACUUUUAACAACAAAAUAUGUAAAAUUCAACCACAAAAUAUGUAAAUUCGAAAGAACACACUGAUAAACCAUCGCGUCAUCUAAUCCUGUGUUGUAUUUUGAUAUUUUAUUAUUUUUUUUUGUAAGUAAUAUAAAAUUAUUUUGUUAAAAUUUUGAUUUUAAGUGCGAUGCAAAAUUCCAACAUAGUCUCGACGAAAUAGUUUGUUACCAUAAUAUAAUGCUAAGGGAUAUUUUUAGAAUAUUGUUUUUGUACAAAAAUUAAUGCAUGAGCGAGUACACGUUGCCGAGUAAAUAGUUUCCCUAAUAUAUACUAAAAACAAGAAUGAGACUGUUAUAUAUUAUCCAUAAUAUCAUAGCUUCGGUAUUAUAGUCUCAUUUUUAAUUUUAGAUUAUUCAAAUCAACGAUCUACACUGUUAAAUAUAAUCUAGAAUAUAUAUAAUUCUUAGAAAUAAAAAUUUAAUUUUUUUUGACAUCGUUUACUACUAAGUAAAUCAUAUCAAAUUGAACGGUAAACUUUGAACAAUUUUUAAAGUUUGAGAAUAGAACUUUUGAAUUCAAGGUCUAAGAUUCUGACCUUGAACUGGAAAGUUUAAAGUAUUAUCUAUUAAAUUUUAAAUAAAUUUAGAUUUUUUUAUACUGUUAAAUUAUAAAUUCGCUAUAAUAGCCAUUAAAAAUUGAUAAUUUUGAAAUUAUUUGAUCACAAAAUAAACUAUAUGAAAAAAAUAUAAAAUUUUAUUUUUAAAAAUUUAAAUAUUUUAAAUUAAUUUUAACGAUCAUUCAUUCGAACGGUCUAAAAUAAAUAAAAAAAAACUAUAGUACGGAAAUCUUGGUACUACGGUAGUAUAGUACAGAAACCUACAGAAACCUAACUCCUGUAAACAAUGUUCGAAGGACUCUGGCCGCAUUAAUUGAACUUUGAUCCGACUAACGGUGUCCCGUACGUGCGGGCACGAAUCUCAAAGCACUCUCGGAUGACGCGAUCAUGAUGGCAUGAUGAUGCAACCAAUAACAAUAAACAAUAGCCCAAGCGCGCGACAAAUCAAAACACCACCCCCCAACCCGGAAAAAUUCUAGAAUGCAACGGAUAUAUUAGUGACGUGGCGUAACAAACCAAUCAAAUUAAUCCUUUUAAGAAUAUAUGUCCCAUCAUGAUUGUAAAAAAGUAUUUUUAUUUUACUUUUGUUUGAAAAGAAUGAAUGUGAUUGGCUUGUUAUUGAUGACGUGGUGCAAGUGUGACAGUGUAGAAUUGAUCUGAUUCAUUAAUCAACGGCCGCAUAGUCAUUUAUGCGUCGCGCUGCGUAAAAUGCGGUGGUACGUACCGGGCGUAUGCGGACGCGGGGGCGGAGGCGAGCUUCCCGAAGAAUCCGAAGGCGGAUGACGUGGACACGAGCGCCGCCGCCGAGGCCCCGCGCGACUGCGCCACCUGGCCCAGGUUGCUCGCAUACACCAUCCCCAGCGCACCCCCGCAUAGAUACGUCCCGAAGUACACCCAGAACUCCGCGCUCCUCACCAUCCCCCGCGCCCCACACUCCCCAACCAACGCCACCUUCUCCCCGUCGUCACCUCCUCCUCCUCCUCCUCCGCUCCUCCUCCCCCUCCUCUCUCCUCUUUCUCUCUCCUCCCCUUCUAUUCUCUGCGUUCAAUUAAAUUAAUUAAAAUAUAAAUAAAAAUAUAUAAAACUUUCAAAAAUAUUCUGCUUUCAAAAUUUGAAUAUACCGUUUAUCUUCACAGACUUAUUUAGUAUAUUUCGUAUACUUCUCACCAUUAUAGUUGUGCUAAAUUUUAUACAAAAUAAUAUAUAAUAUUAAUACAAUAUUAAUCGAUAGCUUCAACAGUUAUGCUAAAUUUUAUACAAAAUAAUAUAUAAUAUUAAUACAAUAUUAAUCGAUAGCUUCAACAGUUAAGUUAUCUGCAAACUGUUAAAAAUUCAGCUGUUUGGCAACUUUCCUAUACCUUCCACAGCGGCACUAGAACUAUCGACGCCACCAUGAUCAGCAGAAUCCCCGGCGGUAGCCGCCGCGGGAGUUUUCCGAACACCGGGACCGCCGUCUCCACCACCGCGUAAACUCCGGUCGCCCCCGCGAUCACGAACACGGCGACCAGACCUCCGCGCGUCCUCGUCGCGCCCGCCGCCGCCGCCGCCAGCGGGUCUGGUUCUCUGAGGAACGGCGCGGCGAUCGCGCAGACGGCGAGCGGCACCGCGGAGUUCAGCAACAAGUAGAUGCUCUUGUCACUGGGCUCCGCGCCUGUUGAAUAUAAAAUAUUAAAAUACCGUUCUCUUUAUAAAAAGGUACCUUUUAAGUUUUGAAAGUAACGAGUAGUAAUUUUGCAGUGCGUACCAAGUAUAAACUGUGCGAGGGCGAUGUACGUCUUCGCGCUCAGCGCCGCGUAGCUCGUCGAGAGGCUGACGACGGCCCCGUAAUCCGCGGGGAACGCGCGGAUGGCUGCGAUGUAGCACACGGUGUUGAUCCAGCAGAUGCUGUUCCCGGCGAGCACGUUGAGUAAGAAUACGUGCCAGUAUGCGAGUUGCGUGAUUUUAUGGGCCAAAAACAGGUACUGGAGCCCGUAGCCGACCGAGCCGAUGGCGGCGCCGACGGCGAGGACGAGCCAGAGGGGGAGCCGGGCGGCGCCGAGGCCGGCGCACCAGCCGAAGAGCUUCCCGACGUCGGAGGCGGCGGCGAGAACGUUCAGCUGGAUUUGCGAGAUAUGAAGCCGCGAUUUGAGCUCGCUGGAGUACGCCGGAAACGACGUGUUCGUGCCGUUGAUGGACUGGAGACAGAUGAUGGCUGCUAGUGUGAGCCAUGGAAGGAUACUAGGGUUUGAGCCUAGUAGUGUUGUUAGCUUGUUCAUGUAUUAUAAUUUAUUGGUUCCUUUUUUUUUUAAAUAAUUUUUUAUAUGGUGUUCCCCACCAUAUAUACGAGGGUUUUAAAGAAUUUUUAUAUUGUAUAAAAAGUUAGGAACUGAUCGAUCCUAGGACUGUUGUUGCUUUCUAGUUAUUGGCUCUAGAAGGGACAGUUAGGUUAUAUUAAGCGACUAUUGGUGGUACUUUUGUAAGAACAUUUUCUUGUUUAGUGAAUAGUUAGUGUCAAUUUUUUUUUUAAAAAAAAACACCAAUUGUUUUUUCUAAACGCUAAACUACCGGAUAAUGAUAUUUUUAAUUAUAGUUUUUAUAUUUAUAUUUUAACAUUUUUUCUGACCUCUGGAGAGUAACAUGAAUUAAAGAAUAAAAAAUUAAUAAUGCCAUCUCGAAAUUAAACCUUCUAUUUUCAUAUCAUUUUUUUUUUUAGAAAUAGAUAGCACGCUAUCUAUUUUAUUUAUCUUAUUGGGAAAUGUGAAUCAACUAGGAUUCGAAUUUGGGAUAUCGGGUAUUAAUCACCAAGCUCUUUGCCACUUGCUCCAGGACAGUCGGUUAUUAUUUUCAUAUCAUGUUAAAAAAAAUAUAUUGCUAAAAAAUGUAAGUUAUCAAAGAAUAAUAUUAAUUUCUGUUCAACAGCUAAAAUAUCAGUCAAAAAACACAGCUAAUAACUUAUCAACCAAAAUUGGCUGAGGUGAAAAAAACGUUUCUUAAAUGAUAUAUAACAUUGAAUCGUGCGAUAAACGACAUAUAUAAUAGGGAUAAUUUCAUAGAUGCCCUUCUAGGGACUAUUAAUUUCAUCAAUGCCCUUCUAAAACCGAUAAUAUUAUGAAUGCCCUCCAAUAUAUCAAAAAUUAUCAUAAAUACCCUUCACUAGUUAAGUUUGGUCAAAGUCCCUUUAAAAUAGAGUUAUAUUUUUAAAAUGCCAUUUUUACCCUUUAUCUCUCAUUAACAGUAGAAAUACUAAUAGAUAUUUCAAGACAAUUUCUAUAAACCUAAAUUUAAUUAUUUAAUAUACUAAAUAUUAAAUUAAAUUAUUAAUAUAUAUUAAUUAUUAAAAAAUAUAUAAAAAUUGUAUUUUAUAUAUAGUAUGUUUUUAUAUGAUUUUGGUUUUGUUUUCGGCUUCGGAUUUCGGUUCAAGUUUGGUUUAGAUAUAAAUCAAAACCAUAAUUGAGUUUGAAUAUAAUGUGAUUUUAUUUUUUUUGUAACUUUAACUGAAACUAUCCGUACUCAGUAUCGAUUAAGCUCACCCCAUUCAAAAUCGAGUUCAAAUAAAAUUGUGUACCUAUAUCAAUUCACAUUCCUAAUCAGUAAUAGUAAUUUUGAAAUAAAAGAUAGAUUUAAUUUUUUUUCCUAUUUAAUAAAAAAUAAAUCAAAUAACAAUAUGCAUGUAUUUUUUUGUCGACUAAAAAAAAGAGAGUUUUGUUCGUAGGCUAAAAUAUAUUAUAUUUUAGUUUUUUAAUGUAUUUAAUGGAGAAAAUUAUUGAGAAUAAUUUUGGUUAAAAAAAUUUUUAAGCUUCCAAUAUUAAAAAAAGAUAGGAAAAAUCCUCAACUUUUAUUUUUAUUUAAAUUUUUAUACAUAGUUAUUUACUUGCCAAAAUUUAAAUAGAGCCACUAGAUUUGGUAAAAUCAUCAAAAAAUUUGAUAAAAUUCUCAUUUUUCAUACACUAAAAUUAGUUAAUUUUUUAAAAAACUAAAAGUUAAUGGGUUGUCAACUAAAAUAAUAAAAGUUGAGGGAGCAGUUUCAAAAUGGCAUAUAGUUGAGAGGGUCUCCAUACAUUUUUUUGCUUAAGGCAUAGUUGAGGGCAAAUAGGUCAUUUUAAAAAUUAACCCAUCUUUAAUCUUUUAAUAACUAUAGUAAAGUUAAGAUAACUGACGGUAAGGGUAUUGGUGAUAAUUUUAAGUGUUUACAGGGGCAUAUGUGAUAUUUUAAACUUUAUAGGGGCAUAUAUGAUAUUUUAAACUUUGGGAGGGGUAUCUAUGAAAUUGCCCCAUAAUAAUAAUACGUUAAUUUCAUAAAUGUCUCUGCAAGUAUAGUUAAUAGCAAAAAUACCCCUAUAAAGUUUAACUUUCAUAUGUUAUUCCUGCAAAAGUCUUGAUAUUUUCAAAUAUGUUCCUGUCGUUAGAAUCCGUUAGAAAAAAAUAGUUAAUCAUAGGUUAAAUACUUAACCCUAGUUAGUUUUUGAUAUUUUUACUCUUUUAUAUUAUACUAGUAUGACUUUUGAAGGAAUAUAUUUGUGAUGACAAAAUUGAAAAUAUAAAUGGUUCUUUAACGGUUCUCUCACGGUAACAAACCAGAGAGACAUAUUUGAAAACAUUAGAACUUUUAUAGAAAUAAUAUAUGAAAGUUGAACUUUGUAGGAAUAUGUAUGAAAUUAACCCUACAAUUAAUAUAACCUCAAUUCUAAUGCAAAUAACGUGGCGGCCGGUGCGCCGAACAAGUAUUUUAUGAGCUAUUGCCUACAUCAUAUAUGUAGAGGUGCCUAAUCAUGGGUCACUUUCUUUAAGCCCAAUUGUGUGUGGGGUUUUGUUCCGUAAGGACAAUGUUCUUGUGGACAACAGAGGAGAGGAGGUGAUGGGCACUUGAUAGAUUAAUGGUAAAUGUGAUUCCCUAAUGAGAGAGAAUGAGAGAACAUUAGAAUAAGUUAAGAGGUGUGAUUGGAUCAUAGGGAGGCUAAGAUGGAUAGGGUCCACUAGUUCCUAUUUGGGGGGCAGGUGGAACAAAAAUUAUGUAGGAAGCCUCUCGGAGGGAGAUGAUCUAGCACAAAUGACAAAAAGCCUGAUAAUUGAUAUUCGAGAAUUAAAGUUCAAAACUUAAUUGCUUUAUAUUUUUAGUUAAAUUUAUUUCUGAAAAGAAAUAAAUCCAACACGCUUAAUCGCUUAUUCUCCCUAUGUAAUCUUUUUUCUAGUAGUUGAGUUGGUUGGCAUGCACAUGAUUUAUGAUAAGCGCACGAGUUUUAGAAUCUAUUUGACACUGAAAACUCCAAAUGUAGUGCUAAUGUGGACCGUGAAAAUUUGGUAAUAAGGACGGCGAAAAUUUGUUACCCCAACCAAAAAAACAAAUAAGUUAGGCCAAACGGACCCUUAGUCAGCAAAUUCAAGUCAAUAAUUACGGACAACUUGGGCACAUUUCUACCGUAAAAUUGAUGCAGGUUUAAAAGCUGUGGGAUAAGAUGAAAAGGUAUAAGAACGGAAAGAAAGAGAUGAACGAAGAAUUCAGUCCUUCGGUACGAGGAAAUACUAUUAUCAACUCUAAAAAACUAAUUAUAUUAAUCGAAUGCCGUGUACACACAGGGGAUACCCGAAUCUCCUAUAAUAAAUCUUAAUAUAUCUGUAAAUUUAAACUGAUUAAAAAUAACCAAGUAGUCGAAUUGAAAUUUCACAAAAUAUACAAAUUUUUAAAAAAUAAUCUAAAAAUGCAAAAACGAAGGCCUAAACAGUUAAAAACAGGCACUUAAGUGAAAAAUUAUGAUCAUUUAAAAAUUUUUCGCUCCGACGGUAAAAAUUGAAACUUAGCUAUCAUAACAUUAGGAUUUAGAUAUGUUUCACACAAACUGGGCCACCAAGUAUUUGUCAUUUCGAAUCAUUCAUUAUUAUCCUCAAUAUUUAUUAAUCGCGAAUACAAAAGAGGUGCUAUCACUGGGCCGGUCUUGUCGGAGCGCAAGCUCGACCCAAAUGCCAACUUGGGCUCCACUUCUUGAGUUUGGCCCAAUAAAAAUGGACCAUGGUAGUAGGGCCGUCAACAAGCCGAACACGAUGGGGUUGGCAUAUGUUUGCGCAUUUAUUAAACAAGCAAAACACGACCCGACUCAUUAAAAUAUACAAAUGCAACUCAUGUAAGGCUUGUUUAUUAACAAGCCGAACACGAGCUGGCUCGCGAACAGUAAGCUAGGCAGCUCUUCUACUAAGUGAAAAGUAAAAAAAAAUUCGAAUCUUAAUUUAAUAGUUAAAAUCCACAAAAUUAUAAGUGUCUUUACAUUUGGGCUGAUCUAAAAAUCCAAAUAGUAAACAUUUGUGUGUGUGUGUGUGUGUGUGUGUGUGUGUGUGUGUGUGCGCGCGCGCGCGCGCGCACACAGUGUGUAUAUAUUCCAGUUAUGUCGAGUUGUGUUUGGCUCUUUAAAAUUUUGAGAUGAAAAUUAUAGUACGUGCUCCACAUUUUAUUAAACAAGUGAUCGAUCUCGAACUCGAGUCGAACACAAACUAGUUUGCGAACAGUGAAUUCCCAGCCCUACAUAAAACAAAGCACAACAUAAUUUUGCGGGUUACUAUUGAGCUCUCAAUUAACAUAAUUUUGUGGGUUAUUAUUCAGCUAGAGUUUGUGCACAAACUUGAAGGCCACCCGACUCUAAGGGCUUGUUUGUUUAUACGAAAGUGGGGUGGAAGUGAAAAGGAGAAGUAAUUUUCGGUAAAAAUAGAUCACUUUCGUUGUUUGGUUCAUCAUAAUUUUAUUACGCCCGAAAGUCUAGUUCACCCAAAAUAAUAAAAUUGACUUCCCCCCUUCCAUGGGGUGAAGUCAAUUUCGGUGAGGUGAAAAGAGGCAAGAGUGAGAAUUAAUGUGUUAGGGUUACCCUCUUCUCUAUCCUUUCCUCUCCCGAGUACCAGACCCGACUCCAAAUAUAUUCAAUUGUAGAAGUAAUUAAAUUUUUUAUUUUAAUUGUAUGUCUAAAAUGUGAUCAAAGUUGGUUAGGUAAGUUUUAAUAUAUUUUUUGUUUAAUUUGUAUAUUUAGAAAAUGAUGAAAAAUGAAUUUGUUAAAUGUUAAUAAUUUUUUAACUUUAGAAUUUUAUUUGUUGUAUUAUUAUAAUUUAUAUGCAAACAAAUAAUCAAAUUUUUUAAAAUUUUAUUUUAUGAUCAUACAUAUAUAUAAUUAUAUACAUAUAUAAUUAUAUUAAUUUUUAUUUAUUAUAAUUUAUUAUUCACUAAGUUACAAAAUAGAUAAUGAUAUCACUUCGAAGGUAAGUAUACCGAGAGUGAAGAGCUACACUUUUUACGUCAUCUACUUUCAACCAAACAAACAACAGAACUCACAGAAUUACACUUCCACAGUUAAAAACAAAUAGCGGAAGUGAAUUAAUUUUCAUCCGAACUCCACUUCAACCCAAAGUCCACUUCCAUUCCAAGUAAAGAUGUCCGUGGACCGGGUCGGGUCUGGGUAAUUAAUAUACCGUACCCAUACCCUAAAAAGAAAUGGUUACAAAAAAAUAUAUAUACCCUACCCAUUUAACUUUGGGUCGGGUCCGGGUCUGGGUACUAAAGUUUCUAAUAUACCCAUCGGGUCUAUUUGAGCGGGUCUGGGUAGUGACUACCCGUAUACUACCCGUUCAAAAUCGGAUAUGGAUCGGGUCUAAAUCGGGUACGGAUAUCCGUAUAAAUAUAUUUUUUUAUAAACUUUAUUAAAUAGUCAAUAAACAAACUAUAUUGUUGACAAUGAAAUAUUGUUGGCGGAAAUGAAAUGAAAAAAAAGAGUAGAAAAUAAAGAGUAAAAAAAUUAGAAAAAAGUAAUGAGUAAAAGAGACGGCUAGGGUUUCAUUAGGAUGAAAAUACAUAGUGACUCAUCAUCUAUAAGUCAUAUUAAAAUUGAUCCUUCAAUUUCAAAAGUUUAUUUUUUUUUAUUUACUAUCGGAUAUUUCAUCGGGUCCGGGUCCGGGUCCGGAUUUGAAAACUAUUUCGGACCCUACCCAUUUAAAAGUUAGGUUCGGGUCGGGUCCAAAUCGGGUAUGGGUAUAAAAUAUCCGGACCUAUACCCGAAAUUUUAAUGGGUAAUUUUUUUAUCCGUAUACUAUUUAUUUUUUAUCGGGUCCGGUUCGGGUCCGGGUAGGGUUCGGAUCGGGUAUGGGAUAUCGGGUAUUUUGGACACCUUUAAUUCCAAGUCUACUUACGUUGAGACAAACAUGCCUUAAGUGUUUAUUUCGCGUGGCUCUUUGGAUUUAGUUUUUAGUACCAUAGGGUAGAAGAUCAUGUGGUAAAUUUUUUUGGACUCAAAAAGGAAGAAGCUACAGGGUGAUCUAUAUAUCUUUUCUAAAAAAUAACACUUCUGAAAAGUUAAAAGUUACGUUCUAUAUUCUUUUCAUUAUAUUAAAAAAUUAUGACUAUCAAAAUAUUACUGUAAAUUAAAAAAAAAAAGUUGCUAUAAAAUAUAAGUUAUCACUAUUACUAUAUCAAAUUUUACGAAUCAUUGCUACAAUUGAACUAUAAACUGUGACGAAGAAAAAUAAAAUCUAGAACCAAAUUUGCACUUAAUCCUCCGGCGGAGAGGGAGCACACAUUCUACAGCUCGGUGCGCAAAACUUUUUCGCCCCUUAUUGCUAUGAAUUUUCUAUGUUUGAUUGACUUUUUCACAGAUGUACUGUGAGAUCGCCUUGUGCACUGGACUGCUAUAUAACUAUAUGACUAUUUCUGCUUUUUUUCUCAUCUUCUCCGUUAACACGGCCCUGGUGAUCUCCACCGCGAGAUGCGCGUUAGUCGUGGCGAACGCCUCGUACUCCUCCGAGAACACCACCUCCUCCAAAUUCUCCGCAAUCAUCCUCAUCGCCCCGUCCUUGAGAACCCUAUCCGAGCACGUCUCCGCCACCUCGAGCACGCCGAGAGCGUUCGCGGGGCGCAGCGUCACGAGCACGCGGCGCACGCACAGCUUCCUGAGGAAAGGGAUGUCAUACUUGUCAGCGGCUAUGAGCAAUGAGUAGAGGCGCUUGUCUUCAGCGAUGUCGGUGGUGGUAGUGCCGGCCGCGAGGGGGAGGGCCCCGGCAUAGACAAAGUCGAGGAGGGCGCGGAGGUCGUCGUGGGAGAGCUCCGGAAGGGAGAUAGAAUCGGCGGCGGGAGCCUUGCACGCGUCAUCGGAGGACAGCAUGUGCCGGAAGAUCUCCGACCGCGUUGCCUACAAUUUCAGAUAGAAUGCGUUACAUGCUGUGAGAAAAGGUAAAAAAUAAGAGUACCAAACUCUUUAAUACUUUCACGUCGAUUUAGACCAAUAAUAUCAAACAAAAAUUCAUAAUUUAUAAUUUUUUAAUAUUUUUUUAUGUAAUAAUUAAGUUGUUGACACUGUUUUCGAGCUGUAGAUAAAAAGUUUAGUACUACUUUAAAAUAUUUUAACCAACUCUAUUUUGUUUGUUUUCAGGUAGGUGAUAACACCACAUUGGAAGGAAUAAUUUGAUAAAAAUAUAAAUCUAUUUUUGCUCUUUCCAUUCUAAUUGUGCAUUAUUUAGGGCACUUACAACAUUUUAGAGACCAAAUUUUACAUUUUCUUUUAUUGACAUUAUUUAUCUAAUAUUUAAGUAAGCUGUAUUUAAAAUCACUUGAUUACUAGGAAAAUAGUAAAAAAAUAUUACUAUUAACUAAUAAAUUGAAUUUUUAAAAAAUAUAAUAUUGAUUGUCGAUACAGAUAUCUUAUUCAUAGAAUAAAAUACGAAAUUACAAAAGUUUUUUUUAAAAAAAAAUUAUAAGCAUUCUUACUAAACUCAUGAUAAACCAUUUAUAGAUUGAUGGUUCCCUGAUCUGGCAAAAGAUUAAAAAACAAAGUUAAUAAUAAUAAUAAUAAUAAUAAUAAUAAUGAUAAUAAAACUAACCAGAAUAGCUCUAUGGGCAGGUAUUGGAGGCCCCCUACCAGGUUUAAUUAAGAUAUCAGUGUGGAUUCCCUCUCUCAAUGCCAACACAAGCCCAUCUAAGAACCCCAAUUUCUCUCUCAUCUCCUCCUCUCUCUCUCUCAUCUCCUUCAUGCAUUUGAAUGCAUCAGAUAUUCCCUGCAACACCAACCCAAAAAAAGAGAAAAAAGAAAAAUCAUAAUCACACCCACAAAUCCCACAUCAACAUAUAUACAAUAGCUUCCACUCUCAAUAACUAUUUUUUUCAACUUAAAAUAACUCAAAUUCAAUCACUAUUUAUUUAUUAGAACUUGGGGAAAAAUUAAAGGAAGAGAAAUAAGACUUCUUUGUGAGUUCAAAAUGCAUUUUUAAUAAGUAGAGACUUGAAAGGACCAAAAAGAACACAAUUCUCUCUGUUAUCAUAUGUAGAAUUAUCAUGAAUCGAAUUCAUGUUUCCCUCUCUAUAUAUAUUUACUUUGAAAACACUGUACUUUGCCUUAUUGUUACAAUUUACACAACUAUUGAAGAAAAAAUCAAGUAGAAUAAAAAAAAAGGGUCUUCAUGAGUUCAAAUAUGAAAAAAAAAGCUAAGGAAAAAAAAAAAGAACAACUUACUUUAGAUGCUUGGGGCUUAAUCAAUCCAUGGAAUUUUGUAGGAUUAGCGGCGUCGAGAUCGAUUUCGAGCUCAUUAAUGAAGCUAAUCAUGCAUUUAGCUCCCUCAUAGCAACUGGGGCAAAUUGUGUUCCUUGGAGGCCUAUACAAAGAUGCCAUGGGACUACAAAUGCAACAAUCCAUGUUAUCUUCUUACUCUCCUUUAAUUGUUUGGGUUCUCAUAUAAGGCCUAAGAGGUUUCUCAUUGUUCAUGGGGUGCUUAAAUACUUUGGACAAUGAUAUAAGUUGCAAUUGUUUUGUGGUUUUUGGUGCAUAUUAACUAGCGGGUACAUCUUUUUUAUUUUUUAGUUCAUUUUAUUUUUUAGGUUGAGGAAUAAUGCCUUUAAGUUAGACCUCAAUAAAAUAAUCCCACAUUAGGUCAAUGAGUGAGGUGAAAUCCAUUUCAUCACAUUAAUUUUGUGUUAAAAUGGUGCCUUCUUUAGGGUUCCUUUUGUGCUUGUUUAAGGAAAAAUCAUUACCAUGGGCCUUGAGUAUUAAGGGGAAAAUGUAGUGUGAUUGGUUUACCCUUGUGAUAUUUUUUGAAAAGCUUCUUUAUUUUCCAGUAGUUUUAGACAGAUAUUUGGCAAACAAAAUAACAAUAAUAAAAAUAAUAAUUAACAAUAUUAAUGUGAAGCUUUCUUUCUAGCUAAAAACUAGCAUAAGCUUCCAAUUUCAUAAUGCAGGACAAAUCAAGAGGACCCCAAAUCGAAUUUAAAAUAUAUAACGUAGAUGUAGGCAAAAUACGAGUGAUUCUGUUUGUACCACGCUUAGGGAUUGUUUGAUUGGAUAUAAUUAUAAUUACAGUAUCUUUGGAGAUCCAUACAUUUGAAAAUACAACGGUUGUAGUUUUCUAUACCUUACUUUUUAUGUAAAGUCUCUUUUCAACUGUUCCAGUUGAAACUGCGGCCAAUUUGAGCUGAGUCUCUUCAUAUAAUUUUGACUGCAGCAAUUGAGUUUAAAUACAUCAAGCUAAAUGGCAAAUUUUAGUUUGCAUGCAAUUAUAAUUAUAUAGUUGUAACUAUGUGCAACCAAACAACCUGUUAAUAACUACCGUUCCAAAACUUGAAGUAUUUUUUUUCUUUCUUUUGAAACAUGCCCUUUUUAGUGUGAUUUUGAACCAGCAUACUAAAUCAGCACUUCUACGAAAUCUCCAACUAAACAUAAUUUAUAUAUUCCAUCCUUAUCUUUUUAAAAUUCUUCAGUUGGGUACCUAAUGCUUGGGAAAUUUUUACAUAACAAACAAUUUGGUUCACAAUAUAUCUUGAAUCUAAAGGGCCAUAAAUUAAGGGCAAUAAUGAUUUAUAUUCUCUAGGAAAUGAUCACACUUUCCAUGCUAGGGAAACAAUGAAAAGAAAAAGGGAAAAGUUCUAAUUCAAUAACAAAAUAGGUAUGUGUUGGGAGAAUGAUUAGAUAAAAGGAAGAGAGGGACUUUCCAACUCCAUAGACAAAGAGAAGAAAAGUGUGUGAUGAGGCAGGGCACAUCCCAACCACUAUCUCCCCACUCACACAACCUCUCUUGUUAAUAAAGAAAGUGAACACAUAUAUUUCCAUCCAAAAAAUAAAGAAAAAAAAAACUAAAAAAAUAAAAUAAAAACAAAAAAAAGGGGGACAUGAAUAGAGAGAGAAGGUAGUAUGUUUGUUAAGAAGAACCUUGGGUUGAUACUCUACAAAAGUAUUUUCAUAUAUACAAUUAUCACCGACCGUCCGUAGCGUAAGUGACAAAAGACUUGGUGGUUGGUAACCGAGAUCUCAAGUUCGAAUCUUAGUUGAUUCACAUUUUCAGCUAAAUUUAUUUCUAAAUGAAAUAAGCGAAGCUGAGAAAAUUAAUAAUUUACAUGUGACCAUCAGGCCAUAUCUUAUAGUACUAUUCAAAUAUAACUAGUUGUUUGGUGAAGAAUAUGGAAUGAUGAUUACAAUCAUAUAAUAUGUCAAUGACUUAUACCGAAUAUGAUGAAUAAUCAUUUACCACGCACAAUUCUAAGACAUUAUAUAAUUAUAAAAAUAUUUGAGAAGACUAAAAUUAAACUCACUCACAAUUAGAAUUGCAACUACAAAAAUAAAAUGUUUAUAACGCAUAAAUUAUUAUUGAAUAACUUCCUCAAAAUUCAAAAUAGAAAAUAGCCAUUGGAUGUGGAUCAUGAGGAUACCUUGGCUACACCAAAGUAGGUGUGUACUGCCUCAAGAGAGGGAUAAGGAUUUGCUAACUAAAGAGAACCUCUUAACAACCACAAGAUAGUGAGGUAUCCAAAAUUGACCCCACAACCAACCUCCCAAUAGUGAGGUUGAUAUAAUUGGAGGGAUAAGAUGCCAUUGUUAACAAAAUCUCAGGAGCUGCUUGGUUCAGAUCAUAGUUGUAUCUGCAUGCAUUAUGGUUGUAACUGUAUGCGUGCAGAUUUAAAUUUGAUAUUUAAUUUAAUAUAUUUGAAUUUAAUUAUUAUGGUGAAACUGUACGAAGAGACUCAACUGUAUGAGUUAGAGAGAUUAACUUUAGACAAAAGAUAAUCAAUCGACCUCUCUCAUAAACUUUUAAGCAGAAAUAUUUUUUUUAUGGAUGCAUAAAGGAUAUGUAGCCUCAUAUUUCAUGUACAAGUGAUAAAAUUUUGUUACUAUACUUUUCAAUGGCAUACAAUAAUUACGAUAUUUUUCACUACAUUUAACUAAAUAAUAUAUAUAUAUAAUUAAAACUGCUGGAUUUUCAACUGUAUACAUCUCCAACUACACCAAACAAGCCCUAAUCGCACCAAUUAUUCAAUGCGAGCACCGGGGCACGUCUAAAUCACGGGCUAAGUAUUUUGAUGGACCCAUUAUAAAAAAUCUAAUCUAGUAGCAGGCCAAGCCCAACUUUAUUUGGGCCAUUAAUUGAAACCUUUAAUAAUUUCAUCUCCAAUUUUCAAACAUCCAAAUAAAUAAGCCCAAAAAUCACAAAGCCCAAAUUGUAGAGAAACAUAAAAAAGCCAAUUUAUUUAGUGCUCAUAAUAACAUGAUAACAUUACUAAAUAUUGUAACGCUCAUAGAAAAGCAGAUAUAAUUAAUAGAGUAGUACUCAAAGAUGUGCAGUGAGAGAGAACCCUCCCUCCACUGCCCCUUCCACAACAUUUACAUGUCUCAUUUUAGCAUUUAGCUUCGCCGAAAAGCCGGUCCGGAUACGUCGGAAUAUACCGCAAGUUUACCAACUCCACCUCUCCUCCUCGUCGUCGCCCGUCGAUUGCUGCGACGGGGCGUAAUUUUCGUCAUCAUCUUCGAUAUUUUUAGUCGUAUUGUAGUAGUGCAGUAGAGCUGUUCCAGAAAGUACUGCCAGAGUCAGCGCCUGCGCAUGCAUCCUUGAACCAAAAAAAAAGGACAAUCAGAGAUUUCAGAAAAUAAUUGAUUUUAUUAAAAUAACUACGCGGUUCAUUUUUUUUUUCUUUCUUUCUGUUCUUUUUAAUUAAUGACACAGUUUAAAUUUUGAAAGUUUGAGUGGGGCGCGUACCUCGCAUGAAUGAGCCGGAGGCUGGGCUUGAGAGGCAAUCGCUUGCGUGUGUAGGCGAGCGAGGCUCCGACGGCCGACGCCCACAACGCGCCUGCAGUAAGAAAACAAGAAAAUAAGUAAACGAAAUACUUAAAAGUAUAAGUUUCAAAUUAGAGUUUAUAUUUUUAAAAUAAAAAAAAAAAUAUUUAGCUUGUAGUGCCACUUCAAGCACUAAUUUUUUUUUUUUACAAUUAAAAAAAAAUAUUUUGAAAAUUUAAUUUGGCAAACUCCACUAUUUUAUUUAUUUGUUUUUUAUUUCUUGCAAUAUCCCCUCGAAAUCCUUAAACAGUAUUCUCGGCUCCUCGUGGAAGAUAAAUCAAAUUUAUUAAAAUCAAACAAAAGUUUUUCUUCUUUUCGUCCAUCUUUUGGGCAAAACUGCUAAAAUAUUCUGAAAAAAAUAUAUCAAAGCAACAUUAACACGAAAUCCCCAAACAAAAAUUUCUGAACCAUUAAUUGUAAUUUUCACUCUCUCCAUGAAAUAGCUUUACCAAAUUUUCUAAGAUUGUAUUUUAAUUACCUUCAAUCUAUACACACAAAAAAGUUAAAAAAAAAAAAAAGAAAAAAAAAGAAAAAGAAAAACACAAGGUGUAAAAUUACUUACCAAUGCUGGUGAGCUUGUGCUCAGCAACCCAAGAUUGAAUGGAGCUCAUCCUCUCUCUCUCUCUCUCUCUCUCUCUCUCUCAAAUGAAUCCCAAAUUUUGAUCUCAGUUUAUGCUAAAAGUGAUUAAGGGGAAAUAGAGGGGUGGGGUUGAUUUAUAGCAGUUUGGGGGCCCCUUGGUUUCAGUUGGAAACCUGGGAAUGAACAUAAAAACCAACGGCUAUAUAUAUAUAUAUAUAAUUAGACCCUUUUUUUUUUUGGGGUGUGUGUGUAACACCUAUAUAAGGUUUUUGGACUAUUUUGACCAUUUUUAGGUACAUGGAUUUGGUGAAGAGGAUGAGGAAACAACUGAGUCUGGGUGAAUUGUUGUGAUCAAAUGGUUUUGGGAUGUAGGAAUCCACUGACUCAGAGAAACAUGUGGGCAAGGGAACAAGGAUCUUUUGGAGGAAAAAAAAAUAUAUUAUAAAAAACAAAAAGGGAAAAAAGGGAUGUGAUUGUUGUACAAGUAAGGUGGAUUUUGGAGAAAAGUGAGUAGUUUUAGGGGUGUAAAUGUUUUGGGUUAGGCCUAGGACUACAAAAAGUGAUUGGUUUAGACACAACUCGAAAAUUCUAUAAUAAGUGGCUGGGUCCGACCACACUCCGUGGCUAGCAGUGUCAAUCAUGAAUUGGGAUGCUUCAUUAUUGAAAACAGAAUAAAAAUAUUUUUUUUUUGUUAUUUCUAAAAAAAUAUUCUAGCACAACUAGGAAUAUAAUGUGAGCCGUGCCGGCCUGGCUCGGCCUACAUUACCUGGGUCAAAACGGACUAGGUGGUGCUCGGCCCAGCUUCAAAUCCGGGCUGAGCCAUGCCGAGCUAGAUCUUCCGAGACCCCCGCCCUCGUGCCCGAAAGGCACGGCCUGUGCCGAGGCCAGGCCACACGCUCUUAGCUGGCCCGCUAAUUUUUAAAUUUUUUUAAAAUAUAUAAAAUUCAAAAAUAUGAAGAAUUAAAUUAUUUAUAUUUAAAUUGAUAUUUUGAUUAAAAAAAUUAAAAAUUUAUGAGAGCAAUUAUAAAAUAACAAAUAUUUUAUUAUAAUUUUAAACAGGUGAAUUAUGAAGUUUUGGAUAAACCCACUUCUUCCUAGGGAUGUCAAUAGGUAUGGAUACCCGAAAUAUUAUCCGAACCCGAACCCGAACGGGGCAGGUUUGCCCGAGCUAAACGGGUAUGGAUUUGGUUAUGGGUAUAGAAAAUAAAAACCCGACGGAUAUGGAUACGGGUAUGGAUUUUGUAUUUAUCCGAUCCGAACCCGAACCCGAACCCGAACCCAAACCCGAAUAAAUUAUAUAUAUACAUACUUUAUUUUUAUUUAUUUAUAUAAUAUAUAAAAUAUUUAAUAAUUUUUAUCCCAUAGAUCUUCAUUUAACGGUAUGGAUUUUUAAAACUGGCCGGUUCCGGGUCCGGAUUCGGGUUUCGGGUUUUUGGUCGGGUACGGAUAUGGAUAUAAAUUUUUAAAACCCGUCGGGUUCGGAUCCGGAUACGGGUUUUAAUCUAGUUUUCGGGUUCGGGUUCGGGUUUUUCAAAACCCGACCCAAACCCGACCCGUUGACAUCCCUACUCCUUCCAAGGGCAGACCUUGGAAGAGCUCCUUGUAGGAGCUCAGACCCCAAAGGCAGCGACCCAGCACGGCCCAGCAUAACGGGCCGGGCUGGGCCCAAAUGGAUAAUGUUGCAUCCAUCUGUGAUCCAACUCGGACCGUGGUCGUCCUAGACCGGCCUGAACGAGUACCGUAGCAGCCGUCUCGUGGUCCAGCUCGGCCUGUGGUCGUGCUAGACCGGGCAGUUCACAGGCCGCCUGGCCUGUUUGAUAUCCCUAAGCACAAUCUAAUAUAAUUUGUGGAUCCAUACACGCACCUGAAAAUGUGAACUGAAACAUAAAAGAGUUGUAUUGCUUUGGGUCACCCGUUACGCAGUCAAAAAGGUAUUGUAGAUGCGCCGGCAGUGCUUCAGAGAAUCAAAUUGUGUGAACGUGUUGGUUGACAUACGGGACGCAUGAUUACCAGCGGAUCAGCUGCCUUUGAUGGUGCCUAGCCGUGCGAAGUUGUUGGGCCUUCUUUAAAGCCAGGCCAAGGCCAUUUCAAAUUUUACUAACUACAAUUUCAGGACAUGGCCCGGCCCAAUUUCGGCCCAUCCUCGUCUAACUUGAUUUCAUAAGCCUUAUACCCUCAUAAGCCUUAUACCCUGUGCCUAAGUGCUCUAUGCUCAUUUUUCUUCUUUUGGUAACAACAGCCCGUCACAAAGUAUUUUAUACAAGCAAAAAAAAAAUUGAAACUUCACUAACAACAGAAAGAAGAUAUGAGAUUCUGAGGUUCAAAAGUAAAAGCUCAUAUUCGAUACUCGGAUUCUACAAUAUUUUAAUGUAACGCUUCUUUUAAUACAAUUGCUUUCAUAAUAAUAUUGAACAACUAUACACUCUAACUGCAUCACUAGUUCACUACCGACCGUCCCUAGAGCAAGUGACAAAGGGCUUGGUGGUUGGUACCCGAAUUCGAAUCCUAGUUGAUUCACAUUUCUAGCUAAGUUUAUUUCUAAAUGAAAUAAACAAAGCGGGUAGCGUGCUACCUAUCUCUCAAAAAAAAAAAAAAAAAACUGUAUCACUAUUUUACCCGACUUCUAAAACAACUGAUUAAGCAGAAUCCAUCCGUUGGCUCUAACUAAAGUGUGAAUGAACUCUUUUAAGUAUGAUGCUCCCAAAAUCACUAAUUAGAGAAGAUCCCUUGGGACCCACUAAGCCUGGUUUACAAAAGCAUAAAGAGUUGGUGUAGAUUAUUUAAGAUACUGAUUCUUUAUUUAAUCAUCAUCUAAUAAUCAUGCAUGUCAAAUUACAAAUUAUUGACCAACCAAUUAGUAUCUUGCAUGUCUCCCCAAAUGGAAACUAUUUUCCAAAUAAAUCCAGAGAGAGAGGGUGCAGUGGAUCUCAUCCGAAUCCUCCUUUCACUAGCAGAACUAGUGCGGGUGGGACCUUUUUAGAGAAGCAAAUUGGCUUCUAUAUAUUAUAUACAUCUAACUCAACCACUCCAAUUAACACAGAAAAAAAAAAUAAGGCCACUUAUUAUCAGUGGCUUUUUGUCGUAAGAUGUCAGAGGUGGGAGAAAUUAGUGGACACGCGCGGACUACCCCCUAAUCGCGCAGCCGAAAGCUACGUCUGUGAAAAGCACUUCUGCUAAGGAUUGAAAUUCAAAAGCUGACUUUUUCCCUAAUCACCUAGAAGGACAUGAGCACAUGCUUGGUUCUAUUCUACUGGAAAAAUUUAGUACUAAUUUUUAAAAAAAAGAUUAUUUGGCUUUUUCUCUGCUUCCGCUAACAGCAAUAAUUUUAAAUGACCGACCGUACACAACGCAGUUACGCAGUUGACUAAGACUUAGUUUGGUAUUGAGGUUUAUCUAACGCUAUUAAAUAAAAUAGAGUUGAGAAAAAGCAUCUAGGAAUAUACUUCUGCAUUCUCCGAUGGAAUCGCAGAAAAUAUAUCGUAACCGACUAACCGCAAUAUGCGGAAUAUAAUGGAAACAAACAGAGUAUUUAUUUUUCUAUUGUUGUUUCUCACCACAGUAAUGCAAUCUCCCCACAAUCCAAACGAAGCCUAAGAACUUAAUAGUUAGUAUUCAAAAUUUCAAGCUCGAAACCUAGUCAUUCCAUAUUUCUCGCUAAGUUCAUUUCAAAACUCCAAGAUUCUACUAAGGAAGGAAGUAAAAUAAAAUUUGGAGCCUCAAAAAUAAUAAAUUAGUACUUCUAUUUCUGCUAUAGAGAAAGGUUAUUAUAAAGGAUUUGAUGUAAUAUUUUGUCUAGUAGCAUUUCUAAGACAAUAGAACUUCAGCAAAGAGUACUUACCACCAACAGGACCAAAAGACUUAAAUUGCUAUCUGAGCACUGCUUUUGGGAUAAGUGUUUCGUCAAAUUUCUCCUACAGCUUUUCCCUGAAAUAAAAAUAAAAGCACUAAAUUAAAGAAAUCUUCUACUGUGGAGGUGGCACAGAUUCUUGUUUCAGCUUUUCUUGCAACAGCAAGAGUUUAAACCUUUUCUGCUAGUCAAACACUUUUACUGAAGUUGAUUACAGCAAUGCAGAAGCAGAAAGGUGCUCUAGCUCUUUGCUUCUUGAAGCAAAGAUUAAGAUAUAACAAGAUUAAGAUAUAAAGUAAGUGGUGGUUGGUUAAUGUCGCACAUCACCUUGCACUGGCAUGCAAUGAGCAUUAUUAUGCUUCAAAUGACUUAGUAACUGCUAAUCUUUUACCAGUUUGUCACUGAUACUUCGUUAGCGAGAUAACAUAGAUUGAAACAAAAAAAAAAAAGCAUUAACUAAUUCAUGACACAACUAAUGUUACUCCCGAAUAAACUAAUCACCAACAAGGGGAUACGUAACUAACAAGUUUGAAUUUUCGACAACGAAAGACCCAUCAUUGAUUGCAAACCAAAUCUUUUGACAAGCAUGAGAAAGGUCCAAAGUUUGGGGGGUAUGCAAACAUUUUUAUUAAGAUUAAGUUUUCAUUAUUAAAGCUAGAGCACAAAGCGGAGAUUAUUGACCUACUAAGAUGCUACUAAUCACCUCCGUUCACACCUUACCGAAGAAAGAGCGUGCAAAACUAAUUGUUUAGAGUCAUCUCAAAAUCAAACCAGCCCGAUUUGGGGAUUGUUUAUGCAAUUCCUAUGAUUACGCAAAGUAUUAUUAAUUAACUACAAGCAUUACACCAUCCUUUGAUGUGACAUUCCAGCAAUAUUAGCAUAAAGAUAAUAUAUGUUUGGCAACAUAGAGCCUAAUUGAAACUUUCCCUCUAGAGUGUAACAAACAUGUUAGAUGAACAAUCGAGGUUGUAAUUGAAGCAUCAUUGUAGAGUUUGUGUUUUAUGCAUUUACCAUAAGAAAACUCCCUCCUACAUUUAACUACAUGGAGGAAUAAUAGGAACAAUAGAUCAGUAGAGGAAAUUUGUAGUGUAGAUAACAUGCAGGUUGGUUGUAAUCUACUUUACACAUCACAACAAGAACAUAUCUUUACAGUACCUCCCAAUAAUCGACCAAAUAUAAAGUUAUGAAACUGUACUUUUUGUUUAAUGACCAACAUUUUGUAGCAGUGGAUAGUAUUUUCUCUAUAAGAUUCAUAUCGUUAGGUUUCUCGAGUCUUGAAUCUGCACCAUUUAAUAUUGCAAGUUGAGAAACUAAAGAGAAAAACCUGAAUGAUAACCUUUUACAUGUUUUUUUAGAACACUUGAUCAUUGUUGGGUUUUCCUUAUCCAAUAUUUAUGAGUUUUGUAGUUUCAGUUUGAGUAAACAAACAUUUACACACUUUUUUGUUUUAUAGGAUUUAUAUCAUAGCUUGGUGAAUAUAUGCAUUGAUGCUUUCGGUUUUUAAGAGAUAAUUCCUGUUUGCACUCCUAGAUACCUGUUAAUAACAGUCUACUAAGUCCUAUUGAAGUAGGUAUGCAAUCCUAAUUAAAUGCAUAAAUAUUCGUGUUUCAUUCUCCUCUUUCCUCUAUUUCCUUCAUUGCAUUCUUAAAACUUUAAAUAAGAGUAUGAUACUUGUAGCACAUAUACUACAUGAUUAUUAUAAGCUUUUCAGUUUUGUGUAGUCUACGGUAGGUGAAAAAGAUUGAAGAUCAAAUCAUAAAGUAUACGUGAGAGAUGUAUGCAUGCUUUACUCCUUUUAAAUAUGAUUAAUUUUCCAACCUUGACCAAUGCAACAAGAGGUCCAAGAUAAUUCAAACUCAGCCUUCUAAGGCUGCAUAUCCUAAUGCCUAUAAAUACCUAUAGAAAUGUACCAACUUCACACAUCAAAGCUCUCCCUAACACACUAAUCUUAAGCAAUGGCCUCCAAAUAUGCUUACUCAUACUCUCUGGCCUUCUUCUUCAUUGCUACAAUAGUUUCAGCUCAGCUAUCAUCGACGUUCUACGACACGUCAUGCCCCGGAGCAUUUCACAUAAUAAAAUACAUUGUCAAUGAUGCGGUUGCUAAAGAGAAACGCAUGGGAGCUUCGUUGCUUCGACUUCAUUUCCACGAUUGCUUCGUCAAUGCAAGUGUCACUAAACCAUCUUACAUGCAUUGUCAUUUAAGAGCUCUUACAUUCCUUUUUCAGUUUGAAAGAGAUAUCUAGUGUGCAUUCUUUUGUAACAAAUUCAUGCUUUGUUUAGUAAACAAUAUAGAGGUAGUUAAGGAUGUCUUUGGCUUCCUAUUUCAACUUAUGAAACAACAAAGGCAAAUUGAUUGUAGAAUGCAAACUCUAACUAUAAGAUCCAAACGAUAACAUGACCAUUUGAUAAACUCCUAGUAGAAGAAAGGCACAAGUAUAUCUUUAAAUAACUCCAAAUCAUGUCCAUUCGUGCGAUGAUUAGUUAAUUUUCUUUCCAACUAAUCAAAGACUACUGUAAUUAACUACCAUUAAUUAAAUGCAACAGGGUUGCGAUGGAUCCGUGCUGCUGGAUGACACCCCCACCUUCACUGGUGAGAAGACUGCCUCACCCAACAACAACUCCAUACGAGGAUUCGAUGUGAUCGACACCAUGAAAUCUCAUGUCGAGGCGAUAUGCCCACAAGUCGUGUCAUGUGCUGAUAUCCUAGCUGUGGCUGCUCGCGAUUCUGUUGUUGCGGUAUGAAAUGAUCAGCCACCUCUUGCACGGUAUCAUGUAUUAGUGCCAAUUUUUGCAACAUCAAAUUAAUAUUUAACCUUUCUUCAAACAACUGUACUCAAAAGUGCUUCUCAAAAAGCUCUAGCCAAGAAGUAAGUCCUUUUUCUAUUUGCCCUAGCCAGAGCUUUUGUAGAAGUGUUGCUCCAGUGAAGUUGUUUAAUGAAACCUAACCUGCUUAAGAUAAAUUCAGCUUCCCGAACACCUAACAUCUACUUCUCUAGCAGAGAUGUCACAAGUGGGUCAAAUGGGCAAAUUAUAUAAUUAAAAUCAAGAAACAACAGCAUAACCAAGCCUAACAUUUAUAUGGACUUUUAUCUCAUUUCACUCGAUCUACCAUUCUAUUUGCUUUAAACAUGUCUCAUUAUGUGAUAAUACCAAAAUAAUGGAAUGAUUUUCCCAGUUGGGUGGACCUUCAUGGACUGUUCAACUAGGAAGAAGAGAUGCGACAACCGCAAGCUUCAGUGCAGCAAAAAGUGACAUCCCUAAGCCGACUUUUGAUCUUAGUGCUCUAAUAUCAUCCUUCUCAAACAAGGGUUUAAGUACAGCAGAUAUGAUAGCUCUCGCAGGUAACACUUUUCUCAUUUAAGUACCAUGUAACUUUGGCGUCUCAAUAGGAGAAUUAUAGUAUAAUUUACCUUUUAGAUUUUAACUUUAAUCAACUUUUUCUUACGUUUGUUUCUGUUUGAUUUGAAUACUUUAUUUAUGACUACUAUCUAUUUAUCGAAGUUAAGCUUUAAAUUCAAAGAGCAUAUCCAGUGAAAGAAAAGGGAGCUCUUAUGUUAAGAAAAGUAAAAAAUAAAAGGCUAACAUAUAAAUCCGAGUUAGACUGAUUUCUCUACUUCUUCACCUACGUGACUUUAUAUCAAUAUUAUUCACUAACUUAUUGUCCACACGCCUAUUCUUCCUCAGGGGCCCAUACAAUAGGCCAGGCUCGAUGCAUCUCAUUCCGGAACCGUAUCUACAAUGAGACCAACAUCGACUCGUCCCUCGCCACCUCCCUGCAGUCCAACUGCCCCUCAUCAGGCGGAGACAAUAAUCUCUCCCCUCUUGACGCAUCAACCCCAACUGUUUUUGACAAUUACUACUACAAAAAUCUGGUGAACAAUAAGGGCCUGUUGCACUCAGAUCAGCAGCUCUAUGAUGGCGGCUCAACCGACUCACAAGUCACAACCUACUCUCAGAAUAUGGUUAAGUUCUAUACUGACUUUGCUGCCGCCAUGGUGAAUAUGGGGAACAUUAGUCCUCUCACUGGAUCUAGUGGGGAGAUAAGGACCAACUGUCGGAAGACUAAUUAACUAAGAGUGUAAGCAUCUAAAAGUAUUCAAGAGAAGGUAGAAGUUUACCUUCUCUUGGAAAUUUUACUGUCUUAAGUGUUGUGUUGUGUUAGUAAAGUUCUAAGAAGAAAUAAAGUUGCUUGUUUCAUGUAGGUUGUGUGGUUAUUCCAUGCACUUUGUUGCCUUUAAUGAAAGGGCAUGUUUUUCAGUUAACAAGAAGAUGAUUAAAGCAAUAUGAACAAAGCCAAGAGCCAUUUAAUUAAUAUAGUAAUAGUGGAUUAGGCAUGCUUGGUUGGCCCUGGAGCUUGUUGGCGAAGACAUUUCAGUGUUCAUUAUGUUCGACUCUACUUUAGUCCCUUUUCUGAAUUGCCAAUCCAUUGACAGUGCUUUUGCUUAACCACCAAAAAGAACAUAAUUUACUCAGGUACACAGGUUCCAAUUCAACAUCACAAAAUAAACCCUAAUACUCCUAAUAUAACCGUCCAAUCAAUAAAGCAUUAAUAACAAUACAAGAAAAAAGAAGAAAUCUUUUCAACGAGAAAGUUCUUUACAACACGAUUCCAAUUCAUAUGUGAGAAGAAAGAAGAACAAAAUGAGGAAAUAUUCUUAACGUCGUCGAUUAUUAUACAUGUAGUGUUUUUGUAGAUUAGGGCUCAUGCACUCACAUCUGAUGAAUAUUGUGGAUUGCAGCAUUGAUGCUUUUACAAUCAAAGUCCAUAAUCUUCAUCCAGUUCUCAAAGUCUCCAAUCUCCUGUAACUCAGAAUAAAAUUAUGUGUCAGGGAUAUGAGAGUAUCUAAACUAUCACUUUGCUCAUAUGUUAGCCAUAGAACUCUUAAAUAAGGAAAACAAAGUUCACAGGCUAUUUGAUGUGAUCUCUUUUGUUUUUUAAACCACAUAAAACAUUAUUACCGUUUUUAGUUUGGAGUUAAUUUAAGAAGAUCAAUCAGACAAACACAUAAAAACAGGGAGCCUCCUGAUGUGGAACAAAAGGGGAUUCUUUCCAUUUUUUUAAUUUUGUUUUCAGACUAUAUACAUACUCACCAUUCAAACAAUUCAAAUUGCACAGAUGUUUCCCCAGAAAUUAUAAAUCUUCAUACAACUUUCUACUUAGAAAGUUUAAGUACAUUUAUUGAAGGUUUUACUCGCCAAAUGUCAAGCUUCUUCCUCCAGAGUGGAGAAAGCCGUUCCAAAAGCCUGGCCAAGCAAACACUAUGAUUUACAAACGGCUUUACUUAUAUUCACUCAAGGUUCAUCACAAAUGGUGCCUACGUAAAUGAAUCUACUGCAGUAAGGAAAUGGGGUGAGUUUCUUUCAUCAUAUUGGUUUAUAUCGCAGUAAUUUUAUCUAAUAAUCGAGACUGUUAAAGGAAACAUUCUCACUAACAUCAACAGCCAUUGAAGGAAGCUAUUAGUCAGAAGAGUAUGAAAAAUAGAAUAUUAGAAAAAUAAACCUUCAAAACGGAAUUAACUGCAUGAGAAGCAGCAAGCCAUUGAUCCAUCUGCUUCUUAUAUCUCAUGAUAGUACCAAGUAAAGCACGAAUUUCAAGUUCAAUACGCUUCUCAUUUAUGAAUGUCUCCUCGACUCCACCAUUAACUACGUUGACCAGAAGAUCGGAAACACGGAAAGCAUUUUUUAAAGCUUCCUUCUUUGCUUUAUCUGUAUGGAUAGGCACAGAAAAUGCAAUUAGAAUAACGCUUCAAAAUUAUCGUAAAGCUCCAAAGUUGCAACUCAAAGAACUCAAAGGCUAUUGGAGGCAAUUAUAUCACACAAAAUACACAUAUUGGGGGGUUAAUCAAUAUGCAAAAUACACAUAUUGGGGGGUUAAUCAAUAUGGUUAUUCUUGAUAAGUUAAAACAGAGUACACUCAGUAGACUUCACGACUGGCAUUAUGAGGUUCAAACGGUAUAAUUUAGACAGAAUAUGGUUGUUUUUGGUUUAGUUUCAAUCAAGAAUGCUUUUUUAUCAUUAUGCACUUAUGUUAUUUACGAAUAUUAUUUACUACCAUCAAAUUUCAAAUCAGUAUGAUUAGAUGAGAGUUCCAAUCCAAGUUCAAACUAAUAGAUCUUAUUUAAAAAAUAGAAAAUCAAAGAGGACUUACUGAGACUUCCGAAAAAAGAGGCCAAUGAGGAUUCAAAUUUGAUAUCAAAUUGCUGGGUUUGUAAUUACGAUUAGGGUUGUCGACUGUUAAGAAAUUGGAAGUCGGUGAAACUUAUCAGAUGAGUUAGACUAGAUGCAAGUUCAGCAAAAUUCACCCCAAAAUAACUUUUUAUUUAAGAUGCCCCUAAAUAUCGCUUUAGCAGUGUCCUAGGUUGCCCUAACUAUAACCAGACACAUAGAAAAGCCACCCAAAAGAAGAUAAGAGAAGCUUAUAUUUUCAAAAUUAUGUUUUUUUUCUCGAACAAUUUUGGCCAUAAUAAAAUUAUAACUGGCAAAGCUAGCAAAAUCUCUAAACUCGGCUCCGACUCACAAUUUUAACUUUCCGGCAUAGUCACUGUUAGAGACAUCAUCAUCAGUUCAUAAUGUAAGUUCUUACUCACUGCAUCCCCUUAGCGCCCUUUACUAAGUAUAACCUAUUUCCACCAUUUUAUCUCAUUUUUGGAUCAAACAUAACAAAUUUUAGCAGCUCACGCCAUCAUACAUGCAGUGAUCAAACGAGAUUACAAGCAAAAGCCCCUAUUUUUUGCCAAAUUACAACAGCAAACACAAAGUUUGGGUCAAAUGGAACAAAUUUGUAACAGCUCACACAGUCACACAUGCCCUUAUCAAGCGAGAUUCGAUUCAAUCAAUGAAGGCAAAUGCAAAAGCCCUCCGUAUGUUUUGCGAAAUUAGAAAAAACAAACACAAAGAUUGGAAUUUUAGCGCGAUCUGAAACAAACCCGUUUGAUCUCUGAUUCGAAGGGCUCUGUGUUGGUGCUCAUGAACGAUUUGGAGAAGCGACGAUUCCAAGCCUCCACCCUCCACCCUCGCCCUCUCCAUCUCUCAAAGGAAGAGAGAGAGAGAGAGAGAGAGAGAGAGAGAGAGAGAGAGAGAGAGACCAAAUUGGACUAAAAUGGGCUAAAAUGGGCUUAAAUUUAAAUUUGGGCUUUGAUUUACAUUGGCCCACUAGGCCAUAUAACUCUGGGCUGGUUUUAAUUGAUUUUGUGUUUUAUUUUCUUUCUCGGCUUUUCGCAUUUCGCAUGUUUAAAUUUGGCCUAGAUUUUAAAAUAGCUCGUGUUUUUAGAUCCUGGAAUAAGAGUUAUACCGUUCGGUCUCAUCCAACAUUGCUUUCAUUUUAUUUUACAAAUAGAAAUUCAGUAUGAUUCGAUGUAUUGGUAAUGAACGAACUUUUUCUACAUGUCAAAUGUAAUGCAAUGAAAAGCCAAAAAAGUCACUACUAAAAUUUUUUUUAUUGUGCAAUAAAUUCGAUAAAUAUAUAGAUUAUAAGUGUUUCGUUAUCUGAUUGCACACUCUACUGCAUAAAUUUAGUUUUAAGCUUUUGUUCGAGAAAAAAGCCAUUGCAACUCAAAAGGAUCAAAUAGAAAAACAUUAUUAUCCAAAAUAGCUUUACACUAUUCUUCUUUUCUUUUUUAUGAGCUCAAAUUAUAGAGGAGGAAAGAGUCAACCAAAUUGAUACCGAACACAUUGACCACUUUGACUAGUCCUAUUAAAUUUCUCCUUCCAAAUACAGUGUAUUCGUUAGCUAACAAUCAAAUCUUGUAGUUACCAUAUUAAAGAUAAAGUAAAUUAGGUAAGUUAAUACGAUAAGGACAACACCCUUUUAUUUAUAGCAAUCGAUAUCACGUCUCAUCCAAAAAAGAUAAGAAGAAAAUUAAUAAUUUGGAACAAUUGCUUAUAUACCCCUGAAAAGUUUUUGACUUUUUGAUUUACCCCUCUUAAAAGGCUAAUAUUAAAAAUAUUUUUUUUAUAUUUCAAUCUAUUUCAAAUAUAUCACUAUAGUUAAAAUCUAUUAAUGAACUUUGUUACCUAUAUAAAAUUAUUAUCCUGUCCUUUCAAAUAUACUCUUCCACAUCACCGACUUUUUUUAUUUGUCCUUAAGUUAGAAGCACAAAAAGUAUUUUAACUUUUGGUCUUUUCAAAUAUAUUUCUCUACUGUCACCAAUAUUUCUUAUUUGUCCUUAAGUUAAGAGCAAAAUUGAUAUUUUAAUUUUUUUAACUGUGGUAAAUAUUUAACUCAUGUUUAACCCAAGUUAACUUAACAGGUGGUAACUAUAAGGAUAUUUUGAAAUAACGGAGGAACAUAUGAAGAGUAUAUUGAAAAGAAAAAAAAAAGUAAAAAUAAAUAAGAUAUUUUUAAAGUUUUGAGGGGUAUAUAGCCAAUUAUUCCUAAUAAUUUAUAUCUUCACGCAAAAGGAAAAGGUGAAGUGACUUUUAAUCAAGCUUGAAAUUGAUUGGGGACAAGAAACGGUAUCAAGUUUUCUCCGCUAAUAUUCGGGCUUGAUUUCAUUAGGAUGAUAAUGGAUACAUAUAUAUGAAAUUUCAUCAAUAUUUAUCGUCAUUUCUAGCGUAAAUAACGAAAUACUUAAUGAUUAGUAUUCAACGUGGGCUUAAAGCGGCUCUGUUUUGUGGCGACUGAUCAAAUUGGACUAAGUAAUGUUCAAAAUGAUAGAAAGUAGAGUUGAGUUUAGCCAUGUUGAAGUGGUAGGAGACUGGUUAGGCAGAAUCACAAUCAAAAUUUGUGGACAUUGUAUCUUUACAUUUUAAGUGAAUUAAUUGUAUUUUUAAAAAAAACCUCAGUUUUUAGAACUAAUGGUUAGUGCUAACAAACUAACACUCGAGCUUCUUAGUUUGAAGCUUAAUUACUUCACAUUUUUUCUAAAGUUUCUUACAAAUAAAAAAAUAAAGCGGAUAGUAUACAUGCUACUUUACUCUCUCUUAAAGGAAGAUAUUUUAUUCAAAUUCAUAUCCUGCCAAGACAAUUUUUGCUGAAGCAAAACUGCGAUGAUUUCGGUUGCAGAUAUACAAAUUCAAAAUCCGACCAUUAUGGUUCGUUUGUGGGGUUUUUUUUUUUUUUUUUAUUAAGACCUUCAAUGCGAAACAAUAUAUCCUAUAUAAAAGCUUGUUUUACAUAAUAUAAAAUAUAGUAUUUUAAAUUCUUCUAAUAAGUUAUAAUAUGUAAAAUAUAAUAUUUUCAAUAUUUUUAAUAAUUAAUAUGUAUUAAUAAGUUAUUUUAAUAUUUAGUAUAUUAAAUAGUCGGGUCAGAAUACAAUUUUCGAUUUUAGGUUUUUAUAGAGUUCAAUGCGAAUUUUUAAAAAAUAGUCCUGCAACUAUUGACAUUCCUCUGUUUUAAACUGAAUCUUCAUAUUUUUGCACUUUUUGUUAGCAAAAAUUGAUUUGUAACUCAUCAAAUCAAUCUAACUUUUACUUUGGUUAGUCAUAUUUUAUAUUUUCUUUCUCAUUAAUUGCAAUACAGCAGGGUAAUUAAGUAAAACAAGAUAAAAGGGUAGAAGAAUAUGUAAAAAAACUUUUUUUGUGUCAUCUACAUGCAUGGACUCUUUCUUGGUCUGCGGAAACUGAAUUUUCGGUAUAAGUCGAGUGAUUCUGCACGAUUUUUGGUUAAACUGAAACUAGCUUUUCAUCGCUUUCUUAGGUUUCGUUUGGGAUUGCGGGGAGAUAGCCUUACGUGCGGUGAGAAAAUAGGUUAGAAAAAUAUUCCGCAUGUCGCGAUGAGUCGGUUACGAUAUAUUUUCUGCGAUUCCACCGAAAAACACAAAAGCAUAUCCCUAUAUAAUUUUUCCACAACUCCAUUUUAUCUAAUAGCGUUAGAUAUGUCUCAAUACGAAACUAAGCCUUAGUUAUUCGUUAAUAUAUGGAUUUUACAGGGAAUCACUACUGUUAAAAGACAUAAUAUUUCAUGUGGGAUUGGUUUAUCUCACCUUAAUUAACUCCAAACUACGCGCCGUUAAUUUAAUGAAUAAUAACCCGAUUAGCUAAAAAUCCAUGCAUCGAAGUGGUAGUUGCCGACAACUAAUCGAAACCAAAUUAAUUUAAGAGUGAGACCAACUAAAGCACAUAAAUAAAAUGCUAUACAGAUAAAGCUACUUAUGAUUUUGUCAUGGUACUAAUCACAGCAAAUCAAUUAUGUCAUGUGAAUUGAAAGGGAAUUUGUUUCCUAACUUUUCCAAACUAACAACCAAUUUGUGUCAUUUCUCUCAUUAAAUUUUAUUAGAAUAAAGUAGAUGUUGACUUGUUAUAAUAAGAAAUAAGAUGCUUUUGGUCUCUCUCUCCCUCAGGCAGUGUUUGGUCUCAUUUUUUAAAAGUGAGUUUGGACUUAAAAAUAAUUUUUGAUUAAAUAGAAUAUUUGGCAAUCUUAUUUUCAAAAUUUGAUUCUAAUUUUUAGAAUUAGUUUUAUGAUUUUUGAGGCCCAAAGUCAGAAGCAGCUAAAUUUAAAGUUUAAAUUUUUGAUUUUUGAGGCUCAAAAUUUAAAUUUUUAUUUUUAAUUCAAUGUUUAAAUUUAAAUUUAAAUUUUUAAAUUUAUUUUUGAAUUUUUUAAUUUUAGCUUUUAAAUUUUAAGAUUUAAAUUUUAGAUUUAAAUUUUAAAUUUAAAGUUCAAAUUUCAAAUUUUAAAUUUAAAUUUUAAAUUUUUAAUUUUAAAAUUCAAAUAGUUUAAAUUUUAGCUUUAAAAUUUGAGAUAAAAUUUAAAUUUUGAAAUUUUAGAAUUUAAAAUUUAAUUAAAAUAUAAAAAUUUAAAAUUUAAAAUUAUAUGUUUUAAUUUGUCAAAUUAUAAAUUUUAAAAUUUUAAAAGUCAAAUUUUAAAUUUUAAAUUUUAUUUAGAUUUUAGAUUUGAAAUUAAAACUUUAUAUUUACUUUAAAAUUUUAAAUUUUAAAUUUUAAAUUUUCAAAUUUUAAAUUUAUUUUUUAAGUUAAAAUAUCAAAUUUUAAAUUUUGUACAAAUUUUAAAUUUUAAUUCAAAUUUUAAAUUAUUUUAAAAUAAAAUUUAGUAAAAGUAUUAUUAUAUGCAAACAGCAAAAUUUUUGUGCCAAACAAUUUACAAAAUCACUUUAGAAAAAUUAUUUUUAUUUAAACUCAACCAAACGCUUUACAAUUUUUAAUCAAAAUCAAUUCUACUUCAAACUAAAAUCAAUUCUAGAAAAAUCACUUUUCCAAAAUUUAUGCCAAGCGGACUCUGUCGAAAAUAAUAAAAAAAAAAGAAAAAAAAGCAGCUUUAGGGUAAGUAGGAUUUGAUAGACCCUGUUUGGAUUGCAUCACCCUAAGGCUAAGGGAGGAUAUGGUGGAGCUUUAUUAGCUAUAAGUGGUCAAAAUUAGUGUGAAAUGAUACUGUUCUCACUUUUAAGUAGUAUGAUAUGAUUGAGCCCAUUUGGAUUGCAUCACUCUUUAAGGGAGAAUAAUUAUUACUCAAAAAGAAAGAAAGAAAAAAAAAAAAUACUGUUCUUACUUGAACAAGUGAAGGAGUAUCUUACUUUUUUAAGGUUUUCUAUGUAGCUUAGAUUAGUAUUGGUAUUUUUAUUCAGUUACUUUCUUUCUCAUGGAUCUUAAUUCUGUGAAAAUUAUGAGGUCGACAUUCGAUGUUAAACCUUAGAUCCUAAGCUUCUUCAACUCACCAUCGAUCGUGUGUAACGCAUCAGAAAUGUCUGAAUGAAUAAGAAUUAAUUUACUUGAAGGCGAGAACGUCUCUAUUGCUGUACUAGUGCAGUCAAAAAACGACAUAAAAUAUUAAAAAUCGAAAGUUUUUAAACAGACUUUAAAUUAUAGUUAGUCGAUCAACUUCUAAGAUGGGUAAUUUUGCCUCCUCUCUUUUCUUCUUCUUCUUUUUUUUUUGGUAUGAAUUACUUAAUUAGCUAGGUAGGCGAGAACAAAAGCUUCUACUAUUAUAUUACAGUAGUAAAUUCUAAAUAAUAUAGUGUCACAUAGUGUCUCCAAAUCUUCAAUAUGUUUUCUUCUUGAAGCAAUGGUGACAAUCUUAUAUUCUGAAGUUAUUUCAUAAGAAGGUAAACUGAGAGUCUCAAUCACUGGCAAGUACAGCUUUAAGUCUUAAUCAAUUAAUCACACACCACUUGUGAUGACUUAGAGAAUAAAGAAGCUUUUGCCAGCAUAUUAGUUGGUUAAUUAUGCAAAACUUAAAGACCAUAGCCUUUCAUUUCAAAGGGUAUCUACGACUUGGUUCUCUAUGAAGCAAAGAAUAUUGUGGUUCACUAAUUUGUAAGUGGGACUAGAUUCAUGUUUUUGCUGGAUGUGAGAAGAUAGAACUUAAAGUCCAGGCUUAGCCAGAGACCAUACUCUUUUCAAUUUGUCGGAUUGUUUAGGGUCUUUUUCUAUUCGUUGCUGCAGUUUUCUGUAAUAGAGUGUUUGACGAUCGCAAGUUGAGAAAACUUAGAGAGGAAUCAAAUAUGAUAUUUAUCUUGAAAACACUUAUCAAACUGUAGUAAACCCUACGUCAGAGUCAUACAAUAGCUACCUAAGAUUGACAACUUACUCAAACGAAAUUGGUCUGGGAACCAACAGUGCGUGAUGUGCGGCAACGAUAUAGAGACUGUUGAUCAUCUACUUGUCGGGUGUGUGAUCAACAUAUUUUUUAUGUAUAAUAUUCUAGAAUAUAGGCACAUCUCGUGGCCUGGAAUGAAGGUCAGGAGUGUCUGGGAGCUUCUUGCAGGGAAUGCCGCCAAGGGGCAACGGCGGGGAUCUAAUCAAAGUCGUAAUUUGUUAAUGAAUGAUCUGAUGGAAAAGAAAUAACAUAAUUUUUAGGAACCAAUUAUUCAAUCCUUUGUUGGCUAUUAGACAAAUCCUGGACGUGACAGAAAUUGGGUUUAAGGUUUACAGCUCUUAGUGACUUGUAUUUGAGUGAGAAGUGAGGAGUAGAAUUAUCAAUUUUUCUACUAUUUUAUUUUUAUUUGUCCUUUUUGUUUUGGUUGCUUCGAAUGUUUUUCGAUGCCGCGUUGUCUUAACCCAUAUAGCUAAAUUUAUUUGCUAAAUGAAUGAAGCGGGUAGCCUGUUACUUUUUUCUUAAAAAAAAAAAGAAAAAAAAAAGGGGUCCUUGGCCUCAAAUGAUUUCCACUAUUUAAAAUAGGCGAUUACUUUGGAAAAAUGUCGAAUUUAUAUAGACUAAAAUGCCAAUAGAUUGACUAAGUCAUGACCUCUUAAUUAAUUUGCCGAACCACAUCACUGCAUUUAGUAUGUUCAUCUUCAUUUUCUACUCUCAUGUUCCCUGCCUUGCCUAACUGUUGCCCACCAUCUAAAAGAAAAUACUUUUCUUCAUAUGCAAUCAUUUAUUGCCAUUUGAUGACUAGUUCUAAAUUCUUGGAUGUAUUAGAAAUAUGGGCAAUUACUUACGUACCUCUGAAAAGUUUCUGACUUUCAGAUUUACUCUUCUUAGAAGGCUAAUAUUGAAAAUACUUUUUUUACGUUCCAACCUAUUUCAAAUAUAUUCCUAGAGUUAAAAUCUGUUAAUGAACUUUGUUAUCUAUAUAAAAUUACUAUUUUGUCCUUUCAAACAUACCCUGCUAUCAUCACCGACUUUUCUUAUUUGCCCUUAAGUCAGGGGCAGAAAAAGUAUUUUGACUUUUGAUAUUUUCAAAUAUACUCCUCUACCGUCACCAAUAUUUCUUAUUUGCCCUCAAGUUAAGGACAAAAUUAGUAUUUUAAUUUUUUUUUAACUAUGGUAGAUAUUUAACUCACGUUUAACCCAAAUUAACUUAAAGGGUGGUAACUUUAACCCAAGUUAACUUAACGGAUGGCAACUGUAGGGGUAUUUUGGAAUAACGGAGGAACAUAUGAGGAAUAUAUUGGAAAGAAAAAAAAAAAGGGAUAAAUAAGAUAUUUUCAAAGUUUUGAGGGGUAUAUAGGCAAUUGUCCCUUAUAAAUAUUGUACUGUGUGAACUAUGUUGGAUCCCUUUCUGUGUAAUGUAUUCUUUUGAAUUUAAUUAGUAUUACUUUUUUUAAGACAUUUGGGCAUUUCAUUAAUUUUUCUAACUACUCUCUCUUUGUUAAAAUAUUUAUUGCGAGUGGGAUUUGACCUGAAUUGAUUAAAAAUAACUUGAAAUUGAAUAUCAUUUCUUCAUACACAGGUAAAAGCUAGGUUACAAAUAAUUUGGUGCAAUGGUAUUUUGAAUGUUAGGUACAUGAAUUUCUUAAUUAGAAAUCAAGGAACAACUAUAUACCACAUGCAAAAUUACUUUAUGCAUGUGUUUUUGUCCUUUUAUACUAGAAAAAUUAUUUACUUAAUUGUCAUUUCCUUAUAAUUUAAAGUAGGAAAAUUAAGUUAGAACUAAAUAUGCAACUUAUAUAAGAAUUCACUGGGGGUAAUACCAAAAAUUUUAACCUUUUGUUCUUUGUAGAGCUUGUGCGAAUAAACAACUAGUAAUAAUGAGAUGAAUGAGAAAAUCACACACAAAAGAGAACUAUAGAGUUUCAAGUUUCAACCCUAUAGGCUAUAGGCUAUGUAACAAUUAAAAAAAAAAAAAAAAAAAAUGAGUUUUACCAUUUACUUAUUGUUAAAGAGUGCAUCAAUCUGAAGGGCUAGGUGAAAAUACUCGUGCAUAUUUUAUACAUACUAGGAAUGUUAUUUUAAUAAGAGAGUAUUAUUUGUCACACUUUAUUACAACUAAAAUUCAUGUCCUUUGAUCGUUAUCACACUUUUUGGGUAUAUAUUUAAAAUCAACAAUCUAGAUUCUUAGUAUCUUCUAAAUAUAUUUUCUAAAAUGAACACCAUAGUGCCUAUACUAAAAUAAUCAUGAAUAUGUGGUUCACUUACCUUUGAUCCUUGUAGCCACUUUUCAAAAUAUAUAUUUAAUGAAAGCUCUUGCUUUGAUUCAAUAUAUAUAUAUUGGUCAAAUAUUGUAUUCACACCUGAACUAAUGCCAACACUAGCUUAUUGAGAAAAAAAAUCCCAUCUACCUUCUUUCUUAAAAAAAAUCCCACAAAGCCUUUCGCUUUUGAUGGAAAAUUAGAAAAUAAAAAAAGCUAAGAGCAAUUAAGAUUUUAAAUUAGUAAGAGAAAAUUUUUUCUCUCCUUUCCCUCUCAUUAAUUCUAUAAUUUUAAAUACUGAUUUUUAUUUUUAUUUAAAUAAAUUUUUUAACAAUAAUUAAAAAUUAAUAUUUAAUAAUAAUGAAUAUAUUAUACUGAAUGAUAAUAUUUUUAUUAUAUUAUUAUUAUUAUAUUAUAUUAUACAGUAUUAAGUAAUGUGCUUAAAUGGCUUGGUGGUUGGUACUUAAGUUUUGAGUUUGAAUCAUAUUGAUUCACAUGUUUCCUUUGAUUCAUUAUCCGCACUAAUUAUUCUAAAAAAAUAAAUGAAGAGGUACUACCAUCUAUCUUCUGAAUGGUUCCUUUACGCUUUGAUCCUUGUAGCCACUUUUCAAAAUAUAUAUUUUAAUGAAAGCUCUUGCUUUGAUCAAUAUAUAUAUAUUGGUCAAAAUAUGUAUUCACCAACCCAUGCAGCAGUGUUUAAGCCAUCUUUCAUGCAUGUUACUGGAAGAGAAUCAAAAGUCCCAUUCACACCAACUUCUCCACAAAGGACUGCAAAGGUCAAACUAGCUAGUUGGAACUAUUUGAUUUGUUCAAUAUCUAGUGGAAACUUUCUUAUAAUGAAGCCUACAUAUUAAUUGCUAUAGUUCAAUAUUCAACUUUAUACAACUAUGGAAAUUAAAUAUGCUAUAGAAGUUUUUUAUGUGCAUGUUUUGCCCAGCAAUAUAUAUAUAUAUAUAUUAUAUAUAUAUAUAUAUAUAAUAAUAUAUAUAUAUAUAUUAUAUAUAUAUAUAUAUAUAUAUAUUAUAUAUAUAAUUGAGCUUUUAUGCUUUUAAAAGUACAAGUCAUUGGUGCUUGUAAGUUUUAGCCCUUGGAUUAAGGAAUAGUGCGGUUAAGAUGAUGUGGCCUUUAAGUGGAUGGUUGGUUGAAUAGUAUAAUCUAACGGGUGAAAAUGAUCAAAGGGCGUAGAUCUAACGGUAAAAAAUUUACAAGCACUAAAUACUUGAUACUUUACAGCACCAUAGCCGGACUAUAUAUAUAUAUAUAUAUAUAUAUAUAUUAUUUCAGGAACUUGUUAAAUUUGUUUGAAUUCUUUGACCCAAUUAGAUUCAUGUGAAAGGCAAUUGUGUGAGUUGCAUGGCCCUUACAUUAGAGGGUUUUUAAAGAAUAUCAAAUGGUACUUAGUUGGGAGUGCACAUAGACCUUAAAAAGCUUUUAAGAAAAUAACUAGUGAAGUUUUAAUUAGUUGACUUGUAAUUUGGAAUAAUCGAAAAUUUUGGAGAUUGGCAUAGUGUGUAUAUAUAUAUAUAUAAUAUAAUUAGGCUGGAAUACAAUAGUAAAAUGUCUUUUUGCUAUCAAAUUUUUAACUCUUGGAUGAAAAAUUGUAGGGUCAGGAUGAUAUUAGUCGGUUAGAGUUGAGUGGUGCCCCUAGGAUUGAGUGGUCCCACUGGGUUAUAGUAUUUAAUUCAAUGGUUGGAAAUAAUGAAAAGAGUUGAUCCAAAGGCUAAAAAACUGAUAGCAAAAUGAGAUUUUGCUACUAAUAGUAGCCCAGUCCAACUCCUAUAUAUAUAUAUAUAUAUAGAGAGAGAGAGAGAGAGAGAGAGAGAGAGAGAGAGAGAGAGGAGAGAGAGAGAGGUUGGUAUGCUGAAGCAACGGAGCCCUCCGUGCUUCCAAAUUGUUUCGAUGUUCGGACUUUCGAAAUCGACGAUCGGCUCCGUUAGAGUUGAUCUAGAGUAUUUGAAGUACCUAGAAAAUAAAUUUUGAUUUUUCGAUAUCAUUUGCCUAGUGAUCGAAGAGGCUCAAAAUAUAAUAAUUUUAAUGGCCGUGGUGAGCCAAUUGCAAGUUAACGAGUGUAAAAAUAUCCAAAUCACAUGAAAUUUUGAUAGAAAUUUUUAUAACAUAUAAAACAAGAUCAAUAAUUUUGAUCUAAAAUUUAAUAUCAUAUCAUCAUAUUUUGUAAGAUUUUUAUUUUCAGCCGUUGAUUUUGAGCCACUUCAAUUACUAGGCAAAUGAUAUCGAAAAAUCACAAAAUUUAUUUUCUAGAUACUUUAAAUACUCUAAGAUCAAGUCUAAUGGAGCCGAUCGUCGAUUCGAAAGUCCGAAUAUCGAAAAUAAAGUGGAAGCACGGAGUUUUCCGUGCUUCCAUAAGCAUCCUAGCCCACAUAAUAUAUAUAUAUAUAUAUAUAUAUGCAAUGUAGUUCAGAUAACAGUAUAAUAUAAUUUCAAACUUUUAAAAUUCAAAAAGUAAUUUCAAAAUGCGUCAUAGUUCAAAUAAAUCAAUAAAUCCAUACACUUCUACUCAAAAUUUUGUCCUUGAGUGGGUGGUUGGAUCCUGGUUGGUUGGUCCAAUUAAUAUACACAACAUGGACCAUCCUUCUCUCAAAAUUGAAUACAAAAUCCAAUCAGUUAGGUUUCAGUGCUAAAUUAUAUAUAUGGAACAAUCUUUUUUUUUAUCCAAAAAUUUAAACUAUCAGAGAACGUGUGACGCCUCACUUUUCAAAAGAUUAUUUAUUCUGAAACAAUUUUAGUCCUAACACGCUUAAUCCUCUUAAUUUUUUAGCUUAACCACUGCAUGUCCAAAAUGCUACAAUCGGAUUAAGAGAUAGUCUUAUUAUAUUUCAUGUAUAAAACUAUUCCAAAUUUUGGAGUGCCAUAGAACGAUAUUUUUAAUAUUUAUAUUCAACAUUCUCUCUUAUAUUUGGAUUCUAGAUUUUUUUGAUAGACUCAAAACAUGAACUUAAAUUAAAUAGAAGAAAAUUAAUUAUACUAAAAGUCUAGUGAGUUUCAUAUUCAAACCCUCCUAUCAUGAUACUUUGUUAAGUUAUAUGAAACAUUUAUAUUUUUCAAAAACUUAAAUUUUCAGCAUUAAUUCAUAAAAAAACUAAUAAUGUUAAACCAACAUUGCACAAAUUAACCAAGUGUAUUUCACUACUAACACAAGAUUCCAAAACUAAUUAGAUCUCUCUAGAUCACAUUCACUGUGUCUACUUCCAUGGUGUCAUUAUCAGAUAAAAAUCUCGUACUGACAUAUAAGUUUAGUAAAUCUGAUCAUUAUUUACUGAGUGAUUAUUAAUAAGUUAGAAUUGAUAAUAUGAUUAUCUUACUUAUUAGCCUAUGUAUUUUUUAUUGGUAAAAAUAUACAAAAUUUGCCUGAACUAUGGACAAUUUUGAAUCGUCUAUCCAAACUUUCGAAAAUUUAAUUUUACUAUCCAACUAAUUAAUUUAUUUGAUUUGAGUCACUCAAUUACACUUUAACUCUAAAAUUUAAGCUAAUUACUUAAAUAAAUUUAUAGCUGUGAAAAUUGCAUGAAUUAUUCUAACUAAACAUAUAAAGAUAAACGAUGCAUUCAAAUUUGAAGCCAAAUUAUUUUUGACUGACUCAAAUCAAAUAAAUUGAAAGGUUGGGUAAUGAAAUUAAAAUUUUGAAAGUUUGGGCAGUCAAAUCGAAAUGGUUCAUAGUUCAACUACGUUUCAUACAGUUGUAUCUACUUUUUUUAAUGAAUUUAUGGUUGUGAGAAUUGUAUUGAGUAUAUUAACUAAAUCUAUAAAGAUAAAUAACACAUUCAUAUUUUGAUGUCAAAGUGCUAUUAACUGAUUCAAAUAAAAUAAAUUGAAAUGUUGAAUUAUAAGAUUAAAAUUUUUAAAAGAUUAAAUAUCAACAUCAAAAUGAUGAUCUAUAUAUUUCAGAGAAGUGAAGUUCUACGCUUUUACUUUUUUUGCUUUUUAAGCCAUCACUUGAUACUUCUUAGAAGGUUCCAAAGAUUUUUGUCCGAGUUCCAUAUUUAAUUAAAACACCCAUGUUUGCUUCAGUUGAAAGCAUACAUUCACAAUUCUUUAAUUAAUAAAAGGGAAAACUAAAAAAAAAAAGCCUCCUAUGGGUUUGCACUUUUUCAUUUUUGUACCUGUGAUUUAAAAUGUAUCAAGUUAGUACUUUAUAGUUUCGCACUUUCUCACUUUAGUACCAUGUGGUUUAAAGUGUAUCAAGUUAGUAUUCUGUGGUUUUAUUUUUGUAUCAAGUUAGUAUUCUGUGGCUUUAUUUUUGUAUCAAGUUAGUGCCCUGUGGUUUUAUUUUUUUCUUAAUGAAAUAUUAAACUAUAUGGUACUAAAGUGAGAAAGUGCGAAACCACAGGGUACUAACUUGAUACACUUUAAACCACAGGGUACUAAAGUGAGAAAGUGCGAAACCACAGGGUACUAACUUGAUACACUUUAAACCACAGGGUACUAAAGUGAGAAAGUACGAAACCACAGGGUACUAACUUGAUACACUUUAAACCACAUGCUACUAAAGGGAGAAAGAGUGAAAUCACAAGGGGGUAUUUGAAGUUUUCUCUUAAUAAAAAAAGCCAAAUCAAUACAUUUUGCCUUUCGCCUGCAGGACCGACGCCCUUUUUGACAAAACCACACCCACAACUGCAUGGACCGAAUGUUGUUGCGUGCACCCGGUGCAUGGAUGCGUGCAUUCGUGCACUACACUACGUACACAGCGAUUCUAACUCAAUGGACUAAUUUCUCAAUGGAAAAUAAAUACCGCCAACUUUUGUAGAUGGUUGUGAUCAAUAUGUUCUUAUGAGAAUAUGAUUUGAUCUAAUAUCAUUUGGUAUAUUGAAUUGAAUUGAAUAUGAUAAGAUUAGAAAAUAAUAAUUGAGAGAUAGAACAGUUUAGCAAUUUACAAGUUGCAGGGUCACGGUCCUAUAAUCAUCUUUAAGUUUUUUCAUUAUUAAUAACUAUUUUGAAAUAAGUAUGUUAGCUUAAAUGAGCCAGUAUUCUGUCCUAUUCAUGUUCGAAAUAGCGUGAGACUGGGUGGGCCGAGUCAUGUUCGAAGUGGCGUUAGGCUGGUUGGACCAAGUUACAAUCGAAAUCCCUGGGCGCUAUAUCUGUACGCUUUAAGUGAAUUGGUUGCGUAUUCCUAACAACUCGAGCUUUUGAAAUAUAAUAGUUAGCACCAACGAUCCGACAAAAUGGGCUAAUAAUAUUUGUAAUUAGAGCCUUCUACUGUAAUACUUCAUGAAAUAAUCAUCUAACUCCAAAAGUUAGAGCUACUAGAAAAUAAUAAUUUGAUCCUAUCCUAUUUACUUCAAUCCUGAAUAUUGUAUAAAGACUUAAAAACAAUGUGGUGUUUUCACAUAUGCACAAUGCACCAAGACCAUGGCAAUAGUAUAUCGUUUACACAAGGACUCUUUCAAAAGCACAAAGCAUACCAGUUAAGCGCGUCUCGCUGCUUUACUGGGAAGCAAUUUCCAUUUCAAAUCCAGUUAAUGCCCACCCCACAGUAAUCCUCUCAAAUGCACAAAAAAGUCUUAAAGAUUAGGUAAGCAUUCCUUAAUGCUUUGUUUGGGGCUUAUCUAAAUCAAAAUUACUUAGCCUCUCCCCUGCAGCUUCUAUAUAUAUGGUCCCAGUUUGGCAUGUCCUGCUCAAGCCAAACACACUUCUCUCUCUCUCUCUCUCUCUCUCUCUCUAAAUCUCUUCCUUUUGCUCAUUAGCUAGUAAAGGAACUAAAAUGGCCAUUUCCUCUAGGGCUUUUGCUUCUCUACUACUUGCUCUCCUCCUACUUGGGAGCGCGUCGGCGCAGCUCUCGACGAAUUUCUACUCGUCGUCUUGCCCAAAAGUCUUUAGCACGGUGCAGUCGGUCGUGAAGGCCGCGAUACAAAAGGAGAAGCGGAUGGGCGCCUCCCUCCUCCGCCUCUUUUUUCACGACUGUUUUGUUAAUGUAUGCGUUCCUAGCUAUACUACUUUCUUGUUAGGCCGAACUUUGAGAACGAACUCUCUACUUGACAAGCAGAAGUUAAUUAUUUCGAAAAAAAAUCAAAUUUCAUUUCGGACCUCCGAAUCAAAUCUCCAAUGCACUUUUGGACUUCUUGUUCCAUCCGUAGCACAACGUAAAGCUGCGUGAGAGGCUUUGGAAGAAAAUUAUCGUAGAAUUUCUAAAUAACUCUACUUAAAUAAUACUUCUGUAGAAACUAUAUAUACUUGAGCGCGCGGUGUUUACGCUUCUUGGUCUAGGGUUAACAUGUGCCUGCAUUUUGUACAGGGCUGCGACGGUUCACUAUUGCUCGACGACACGGCCAACUUCACCGGCGAGAAGAUGGCGAAGCCCAAUAACGGCUCGGUGCGCGGGUUCGAUGUCGUCGACAACAUAAAGUCUGCGGUCGAGAAUGUGUGCCCCGGCGUGGUAUCUUGCGCCGACAUACUGGCGAUCACCUCACGAGAUUCGGUUGUCAUAGUAAGUACAAUUUAGAAAUUGAUCAUAGCUAGGUUCUCCAAUUUUAUUUAGCUCUUGAUUAAUCAAUUAAUGCAUUAAUGUACCAAGCAAAAUUGCUUCUUUUCAUAGCUUGGAGGGCCAAAUUGGAAUGUGAAGUUGGGGAGGAGGGAUUCAACAACAGCAAGCCUCUCUGGUGCUAACAAUAACAUUCCUUUUCCAUCUAAUAGUCUUAGCACUCUCAUCUCCAAAUUCUCAGCUCAGGGUCUCUCCACCAAGGACAUGGUUGCACUAUCUGGUAAAAUUACUUAGUCUGAUAAACUAUAUUCAUUGAAAGAUGAAAUAUCUAAUUGAAUUGCUUUUUGUUAAAUUGAUUUUCGUGUAACAUAAUAUCAGAGCUAAUUCUAAAUAAGUUUCCUUAGUUUCGAGAGUCAUGGGCUUAAUUUCUCAUAUCCAUCACUUUAUAAAUUAGAUUCAUUAUUCUUUAUCUGUUUCUGUCAAUAAAUACAGUACUACUAUUUUUUCUUUUUAGAGAAAAAGAUAGCAUGCUACCCGCUUCGUUUAUUUUAUUUAGAAAUAACAUUAACUGAAAAAUACAGUUCUACUGUUACUUAUCAAAUCAUUAGAUCGAUCUUUAAUUAGUGUACUAAAAGUUUCAUAUAUGGCAAAAAUCCAAUUAUUUUACACCAUUUGUAGCUAAUACUUGCAAAAAUUGUCAUUUCAUUGUAGACAUUAGAACAAUAAUCAUAUCAUAAUUUUACAAGUAAUCAUUACGAAAAAAACAAAAAAGUACAAGGCUAGUCACUUUUUUUUUUUUUUUGUAGCUUUGCCAAAAGGAAGAAAUAUGACAUCCUAACUUACUACCUAGAAGAGAGUGUUGACUAGUAAACUAUUUUGUGGUCCAAAUUAUUUGACUCAAAAAGCAUUAAUACCUCUACAUAUAUCUGCCGACAAAGCAUGUAAUACCAUGCCUAAUGUCUUGGCGUACAUUUACUAGACAAAAACAAAUGCUCCAAUUGUAACGCUACAAUUGUUGACGAAUACAAAUACAGAUGCAAACGGAGCGGAUCUAGGGCGGGAGGGGUCCUCCGCCUGGAGAGGCGUUGAUCUUUAUUUAUUUUUGGUCUCUAUUUAUCGAAAAGUGAAUUUUUUAUGAAUCAGAAUAAAUCAAAAAAAACAAAAUCUAAGCACUAAAAGAGUUAAAUUUUUCUAUAAGCAUUUUAAAAUAUAUAAUAAAAUGGUUAUUUUAUUUAAUAAUUAAUAAUUAAAGUCUAAACGUACAAUAUAUAUGAGAGCAAUGCUUCUAUGCACCAAAAAGAUCUCGGCCCUUAAAUUUUUUUAAAUGAAUGGUGGAGAUGUCUUUUAGUUAAGAGGGUGACUGGCUUUUGUUGCCUUAGGUACCAGUCACUUUCUUACCAAGGACAAACUAUUUUCUCAUAUGUAAAAUUAGCAUGAAGGGCAGUUUUGUAAAUUUUUAUUUUCAUUUCCAUAAUGCCCCUCUAGUAAUUAUAAAAUAUUCCAUUCAAUUUUGAAAAAGUUUUCACCCACAGUCAUCUUCUCCGAAGCUAUUUUUUCUUUUUUUUUAGUUUAAAUAGUUAAAAAAUUUUAUUUUUUUAACUAUAAUAUAAACUAAAUCUAAAUUUAAAAUUUAAUUUUAAUCAAUGUUUUGAACUUUAAUGUUGUUUUUACUAUCGAAUGAACAAUUUGAAUUUAAUUUUAAAAAUAGAAGCCUUUAAUUUAAUUAAAAAANAAUAAAAGUUAUGUUUAUAAAUACAACAUAAUUUACAAUUUAAAAUAAGUUAAUAUAUUUGAAAUUUCGUGUCAUUUUAAUAUCAAAUUAACAAUUUGAAUUGAAAUAUACUAUUCAUUUAAACAUAAAUUUUUUCAUUCUGAAAAUUAAAAUUAAAAUUAAAUUUGAAUUUAAUGUACACAAUUAUAAGUUUAAGCUCAAAUUGAUUUUUAAAUUUAAUUUUAUAAAGAUUUAUUACUUAUCAAAUUAGCACUAUCUAAUUUGGUAAGUAACAAAAUUAAAUAAGGAAACAAAUAUUUGUGUAGGGUUAAUCAAAUUUGGUAAUUAGCUUGUAUUUGUUUUCCCAUAUUAUUCUUACGAAUGGUAACCUAUUGAGCAGGUAACUACUAUGCAAAAGUCAAUCUCGCCCUUAAAAUAUGAACGGCUAGAUUUAAUUUAGCCGGUGUAUUGAAGCAUUCCUCUAUAUAUAUGAAAAUUCAAGAACAACAUGUUUAAGCGAGAAGCAUAGAAACGAAUGUACUUGUAAUAUACUAAUAUAAACUAUAUAGUGCAGAGAUUAUUCAUAGAUUUUAUCACAAUGAAAUGUUCGAAAUCUAUAAGUUUGUUUUUAAAAAAAUUUCUAAGAAGUUUUUCUCUUAUAAUUUUUCUUUUUCUCUUUUUAUUUUUUCCGUAGGUGCUCACACCAUAGGCCAAGCACGGUGCACCAACUUCCGCGCCCACGUAUACAACGACACCGACAUCAACGCCUCCUUCGCGAAGUCGCGGCAAUCGAAUUGCCCACAAACAUCUGGCUCGGGCGACAACAACUUGGCCCCGCUCGAUCUGCAGACACCGACGGUGUUCGACAACGACUACUACAAGAAUCUCGUCGUGUUUAAGGGCCUGCUGCACUCCGACCAGGAGCUCUUCAACAACGGGUCGACCGACUCACAGGUGCAGUCCUACAGCAGCAGUUCGAGCUCGUUCUUUUCGGAUUUCGUCACGGGGAUGAUCAACAUGGGCGACAUUACCCCCCUCACGGGAUCGAACGGCGAGAUCAGGAAGAAUUGCAGGAAGAUCAACUAAAUUGAACGAGGUAACGAACGGUCGAUCGCUUGCUGCAGUAAGAAUAAAGAUAUCAGAAGAUUAUAUGGAUGGUUUAUUUUUAUUUUUAUUUUUUAUUUUUACAAAGAAGUGUAAGAAUUUGAUGUGUUUAAUUAAUGUGGAAGUGAUCAGUGGUGUUUUGGCUUUGAGAAUGUUUGUUUGUUUUUGUACUAACAUGUAUAAUUAAGCGCAUGAGGUUGGCUCAAAAUUAAGUUAUUAUUUAUUAGUGAAAGUUAGUGUUGUGUCUAUAGUGCGACUUUUUCUGUCACAUUAAUCUUUUGUGUACCGAAAUUAAAAAAAACAUAAUCUCCAUAAAAUGGUUGGUGAAUUCAUGUAGAGCAUGGAUUAAGUGCUCAUCGGCACAGGCUAUAUUCAUCGUGUCAUAUAGUGCCAAAAAUAUGUCGGAACGAUACAGCUCUUGUACUGAUGGCACUGUUCAAAAUUCUCUAUUUUUUAAAUUAGCAAGUAAUUUUUUAAAAAAAUUAAAACAUUUGAUAAAGAUACAUAAUAAACAGUUAAAAUAUUUUGUUGCUAAAGAAAAUAAAUAUUUUAUAUUAUUAUGUGUCGGCACGUAUGUAUUUCUUGUGACCGACAAGCAUCAGCACGCCAGGUACGCACCAUGUAGUACUAUGUUGGUAAUUUUUCAGUACAACCCCGUGUUACUACAUUUAAAUUUUGUUGUAGAGAGACUAAGGAUGGCGUCUGAAUUAAGAAAGGGUUAAAAGUGCACGGCGGCCUAUGUGGCCCAUACUUGGCCCAGGCCGGCGAAAAAAUUUUUGCGGCUCGAGAAAGGCCCAAGAAUCAUUUUAUGAGAAGAUGCUUAAGCCCAACCAAGCUCGUCACUAUCUAAGUGUUUGUUUGGCCAAACGCUGGAGCUAGCAGAUCCCAACAAAAUAUUUAUGUGAGAAAAUUCAUGUGGAAUAGUUCAUACAACUGUACUGUCGAAACAGCGUAUCGCGCACCAUAAACACAAUGAAUUAGGAUCUAUAUGAGCAUUAGAUGAUAAUAUUGAGAAAUUAUUGCAUAAACAUUCUGUAAGAGAUUAGCAUUUUAUAACGCAUUUUCUAAAACAUUGUGUGGGUUCAAACCCCCAAUCUCAACAAUUUAAUUUGUAUUAUUAUUAUUAUUAAAGAAAGAAAUUGUUUCAUAGGUGUUCUCAAAUAUAUGAAUACUUAAAAUGAAAAUUAUACAUGCUAAAAUAUUUUAAGGAUUAAAAAUUAAACUCUUAAUUUUCAAUCAUAAUGAAAAAUUUUCAUACUAAACAAGUUAUCAAUACAACAAAAUUGAUACACCAAAGGAAACAAGAGGGAUUAAAAUUCACAUCUAAACAACCGAACUCAAGCUACAUUUUUUUUUCAUUUUUACCGAAAGAAACCAUAUAUAAUAGAAGAGGAACGACAUCAUAAAAGAAAUUUUCAUACUGAAUAAGUUUUUAAUAAGGAUGUAAAAUAUAACACUUAACUUGCCAUUCUAAAUGGAUCUUUAAUACUGUAAAUAAUACUGAUUAAGAAAGGAAUUCAUACAACAAAAAUGAUAUGCACCAUAGGAAACCAUAGGGAUCACAUUUCACAUCUAAACAACCAAACUCAGGCUACAUUAUUAUUAUUAUUAUUAUUAUUAUUAUUUUCCAAAAGAAACCAUAAUAGAAGAGGACCAAUAAACUACGUACAGAUAUCUCUACACAUACAUCACAACAAUUCUUUUCUUUUAUGAUCACAGAAGAAGAUCACUCUUGGAGCUCGAUGAGAACGAGGACGACGAUGGCGCAGAUGAUUGAUACGGCAUAUGAAGCUUCCUUAGUCGACCUAGCUCGCGAAAGAGCGACGCGAUGAGCCCGAACUGCAAAUAUCUAGUACUCUUCUUCUUUCUCUUGGACACAGUUUUUUCAGGGUGGAUAUUGCAAUUAGAGGGUGGAGGGGUGAUAGGUGUGGAGGUUUUGGACUUAGUAGGCAAUGUGUCUUUGGGUGUGCCAGGUUCAGAUUCCCAUAGGAAUGGGACUGAACCUGAUGCAACCCCAAAGUAGACCCUAAAGGAAUUGUUGCAUGAAGAAUUUUCCUUGGAGAGGAGUUUUGAGUAGAAUUUGUUAUCUUGCUUGAUGUGGAGAGGGCUUUUUGGGUUUUCUGAGAUAGUUGAGAACAUGUUCUCUAGGGAUAGGUUGGUAUAGAGAGAGAGAGAGAGAGAGAGAGAGAGAGUUUGGAUCAUUUAAGAAUGGGUAUAAUCUAAGGUUUGGAUGUUUAGAGGGAGAUUUAUAGUAGGUUUCAAGUUGUUUAACUAGGUUUGUUUGGUAAGUAAAUAAAUUGAAGAUUAUUUGAUGCUUGUAAGUAUUUUCGCUUGUCCCACCAAACACCUUAAAAUUUAUUAACAUUACGGUGCAUGAAAAUUUGUACCUAGCGCAAAUACAUUUGCUGUAGCUGAGACGAAUCAUGCAACAUACGACAACUAAUAUGAAAGGUAAAAGUUAAAUUAUGCUACGUGCACUAAUUAAAAAGAUAACAAAAAGAUAGGAGAAUUAAAUUUAGAAUCCCUUCAGAGAGUGAGAAUUUAGGAUUGGCUCUAAUAUCACGCGAAUCGAUCUGAUAAAUAAUGGUGCAGAAAUAGUCUUAAUAUUACCUUAGACUAUAUAACGAAAGGAGUAAACUAUUGACCACGAAGAAUUGACCCACUAACUGAAUUCAGGUGGAAGGCUCUCAUCAUUGUUAAUCCAAUUAAGCCAUUCUAAAAUCUCAAAAAUUAUCAGGACUCUUUCAAAAGUUGUGUUCCAAUAAGAAAUCCAGGGUCCUAGUAGGAAAAUUCACUUUAUAUUAGAAACAGGGAUGCAUGAGCUGUAUGUGAUACAUAUGGACAGUGUUGAUAUAAAUGGUAAAUAGUUGAGUUAAUCAAGCCAUAUUGGACUUAUUCUAGAUAAUGAGAACAUAAUGUGAUGUUUAAUGUUUUAUCCUCCUCUUUAUGCUCCAAAUGCGAAGGUGAUUAGUGAUUUAAAUGUGGCGGAUACAGGGCUGGCAGAAGUCCUCCACCUUCUCUGCCAUAGAUACUAGGUAAGUUAAUUUCUUUUAUUAUUUUUGGCCCUCACUGAUCACGUCAUUUCAGAAAAGAUCGAAACACGGAGGAUUUUUGAUAGGUAGGGGCGAAUUAAUGGAAAAAAAGGGGUCCCCCCCCCCUCUCCCACCACCCCACUGUAUUUUUUUAUUUGAUUAAAGUCGAAUCAGGACGAAUUAUUAUUAUUUUUAUAUAUUUGGUCCACAUUUACUGAAUCACUAAGGAUGAAUUAGGACGAGAGCUCCGUCAACCAAGAUUCAUUUGCAUCCCUAGUGGGGACAGAAUUGUUAGCUAUUUUUAGGGUAGGUGAUGAGAUGAAUAGAUUGGUUUUUCAGAUCUACUUAGUGGUAGGUAGAAUUUGAUAAUCCAAUUAGUUAUCUCUUUUACCACUAAGGUACCAGUAAUGUAUUCCACUAACUCUCUAAAAUAAUGAAGAUGUAUUCCUCAUUAACAUCCACAAAAAAUAUAUAUGUAUAUAUAGAAGAUCAACCAAAUAAGUUCGCAAUCUGGGUUCACCCAUAAACCCUAAAAUGAUUCUCUUGUUUGAAGAGUUUAAAUGCAAUGAUCCAAACCAGUUAAACCGAACAAAUUGAACUAUAUUUUCCAAUAGCUUCAUGGUCAUGUUUGAGUCAGGUUUUGGAUGCCCAAAACUGGCCUUUCUGCUACUUCCGGAACUUAAAAAAUAGGCUAAAUAAAUUUCCCAUGGUUUUGCGUAGUUUCAGGCUUAUUCAAAUUGAUUCUUAAUGUCUUUUCCCUUUGUGCAACAGUGAAUGAACCAUGAGUUAAAUGAGAUUUUUAAUGGUGUGCCAUGGUAGAUGUUUUUACACACAUGACAUUCAUAUUAAGUAGUGUUGGCUUAAAUGGAUCAGUAUCCUACCUUGUGGCGGGAGACUAUGUAGACCGAGUCAUGUUUGAAAUGGCGUGAGAUUGGGUUCGGCCGAGUCAUGUUCGAAGUGGUGUAAGACUGGUUCGGCCGAGUCACAAUCGAGACCCGUGGGCACUGUAUCUGCACGUUUUAAGUGAAUUGGUUGCGUAUUUCUAGUUGCUCGAACUUUUGGAAUUAAUAGUUAGCGCCAACGAUCCGACAAGCAGUACAUUAUUAUAAAUACCGUACUCAUCUGAAUAAGAUCUAAGAUAACUACUUUAUCUGGGCUGGGCUCAGGUUGGCCCUCAAACCCUAUUCUAGACACUGGUUAUUUGUGUACCAUUAAUUUAAAGUCCCAAAAAAAAAAAUGCACCAUUGAUCAUAACAACCAUUAACUAAAGAGGUCUUAUCAAAGCAUAAAGCAUAAAUAAGAUUACAAAACUCCGAAGCACAAGCUUCAAUUUGAUAAUUCUGAUUUACGCUACCGACUCAAAAAAAAAAUAAAAUCUUAAUUUGAUAUUCUCAAUUCUACUACAGAGAUUACUACUCCGAAAAUGUUAAUAUUUUACAUCGCAUAAUAUUUUUUUAGAAGUCACUUUUGUAAAAAUCAGUACAGAUAUUAAACGAAAAAUGACAUGUUCACAUGCCAAAGUCCCAAAUUUCCUCAAUUUCUCUAAAACCCAAAAGGCAUCCACCGACAAGUUCACAAGAAUCCAAAAUAACUUUGAACCCCUUCUCCAUCACGUGAAUUUGCAUUUCGGUCCCCGCUUUAACUUUUUUGACCUCGUGGUCCCUCGCACGUGGCCCCCACUCUCCGGUACGUAGACCGGAUCAUAGUCCAGAGGUACUAUUUUGUAUGGUCUCGGUGUUCCGCGUCACCCAUACACCGGACAAGCUAAGAGUGAAACACGUGUCCGCGGUGAGGAGCUUGUAAUUAUAUCAAACAGAACGUAAAUUAGAUAAUAUUUAUUAAUAAAUAUAAGCCGGGUUUCUUUUGGUUUGUAAAUUUUAAUAUGGCUAACAACAAAAUUUAUAAUAUCUUGUAUAAUUUUAGAUGCUUGAUCAAAUUAAAGUACUUGCACCCACCACAAAAUAAAUAAUAUUAAUAACAUAUUGAUAUAGAAUUCGAAUGUUAGAAAAAAUAAAGAGUGAGAAUAUUAUUUUAUUUUUAAAAGAAUAAAAAUAAAUCAGAAUAAUUAAAUAAAUGUAUUAUAAAAUUUACGUCAUCGUAGAUGGUGUAUAUAUAGCAGUAUUUUAUGCUAUUAAUACUAAAUUAUUUAAGCAUGCCAUAUCCAAAUCGAUACUUAAUUGCAAUCAUAUAGAUAUAUAUACAUGGCGUACAAUUUUGUAUGCCAAAUAAAAUAAAAAAAAUUUAUGUGCAAAAGAAUCCUUUGCUCAUAAAACUAAAUCGCGAACGUCAAAGUCGAUUUUGUAUGCAUACCUACAAAAAUUUAGAAAAAAUAUAUCCAUUGAUAUUGACUUGAGAGUAGACAACUGCAGCUAUAUACCAUUUGGAGAUGGCUCUCAAUUUUUUUUUUUUAUUGGUGUAUUUUUAAUUUUUUAAUGUUUAAAAAUUUAGGUGAUUGUAGUCUAUUAUUUUAACUAUUGCUCAGUAAAUAAGAAAUAAAACCAUUAACAACUAGAACCUAAUAUUAGGUUGAAAUUUUAACUUAAGUAAUUAAAACAACUCAAACAAAAAAAAGGUGUUAAAAUAAAAAGUUGAACUUGUGGGCUAAUUCCAAAAUAGCCUAGAAUUGUGUGGGAUCUCCAUACAAUUUUAUGUCCGGUCCAUAGACCAGGUCCAUCAGAUAAGCAUGCCGCGUACAGAAUCCGAGCCCCUCGUAAUUUGCGCCAUCCCCCCGCCCCCAAAAAAGUUCACGGGGCUUCGUAUCAACUAAACCCCUCUCUCUCUCACUUUACUCACCCUUUCCUAAACCCCGCUGUGAGGGGAAAGAUAAGAGAAGUCGGCGACGGGUUCCUCAAAUCCGAGCCAAUGUCGGCGACGGGUUCGGGAGAUGUACGGUCGGGGACGGUGGACACGACGGCCCCCUUCGAGUCGGUGAAGGAGGCCGUCCAUCGCUUCGAGGCCACGUGGCGGCCGCAGCCGCCUCCGAUCCUCCUCCGCCCCGAGGUAUCGGAUGUAGUUGCAAAUACAGUGCAGUAGAAAAGGCAUGCAGUUACAGAUACUGUAAGGGGCUGUUUGGUUGCACGCAUUUGCAACUGCAGUGCAGUUGCAAAUGCGUGCAGCCUCAAUUUUUUUGUUUGGUUUAGUGUAGUUGAGUUCAACUGCUGCAGUUCCAACUACACAAGAAGGUCCAAAUGCUGCAGUUGGAACUACAUCCAAAUGGCUGUAGUUCCAACUGCAGCAGUUGGUGAGGGAUAGGAUCACCCACAAAUUAACAAUAAUAAAUAAAUAAAUAAAUAGCUAAAUAAAUAAAUAAUAUAUGUAUAUAGGUAAAUAAAAAUACUUGUAAAUAAACUCAUACUAAUAAAAUUUUUUAGACAAUACAAGCUUUGUGCAAAAAAUUAAAUUUUUUAAAUUUAUUUUAUUUAAAAUAUAAAUAUAGUUUUUUUAAAAAAUUUUUAUAGAAUGUGAUCGUGUAUGUUAAUUUAAUAAGUUUUAAUUAAUUAUAAUUAUUAAAUUUGAUAAAAAAAAAUGAGAGAAUCGUUUAAAUUUUAAAGUUUGAUUUACAUAUUGAAAUUAAAUAAAUUAAAAUUUUUAAAUGUGUCGAUUAAUAAGUUGAAGAAUGUUAUAUAUAUCUACUUAUUUAUUUAUAAAUAGUAAAUUUAAAUGAUUAAUAAACUUAUACAAUUAUUUUAUGUUUAAUGAAAGUAAUCUCACCACUCUAUCUGAAAAGGUGACAAAAUUCACAAAUACAACUAUCAGCUUCAUAUUAUCAAACAGAAUAAAUGUAACUGCAGCAGUUGCAACUGCGUAAAACCAAACAGACUAGGUGUAGUUACAACUGCAGCAUUUGCAACUGCAUGUAUUUCCAACUACACUGUUUUUAUAACUACAUCUAACCAAACAGCCCCUAACUGUAGCUAUACAUAUUUUGUUAAAUUUGGUAUUGUAAAUAAUAGUAUAGCUAUAAAUAAUUUAUUUUUUUCGCAUUUAUUUGAUUGAUUGCAAUUGGAGUCCUAUUUACAAAUUUGUAUAUUUUUAAUGUAAAAAGAAAAAUGGUUGAAAAUUUUAUUAUUUUCCACAUUUUUUUUUAACUUCAAAUACCAUUUCUGUAGUUUCGCGUUUUCUCACUUUAGUACCAUGUGGUUUAAAGUGUAAUAUUUUAGUACUUUAUGAUUUUAUUUUGCUCUUUCUGUCGACAUCUUUAUUAACUCUCUAUAAAUUAUUAUAUACAAAAAAAUUCAGAUAUUCCAUAUGAGCCUUCUCGAAUAUUCACUUUAGUAUUCUAUGAUUUACCGAAUUUUCACUUUAGUAUCACGUGGUUUAACUUUAUUUCUAAUUUAAUAAAAAAAUUAACAUAGAGAAUAACGGAAAGAGAAAAACGAAAACACAUAAUACNGAGGAUAAGAAUCACUCUUAGUGGAUAAGGCGACCACUUAGAAAUCUUAAAUGAAUAUGCAUUCUGCAAAUCAAACAUCAAAAGUCACACAACAGUUUUCAGAGCUACAAAUAAUCAGAGGAUCGAAAAAGAACGGUUUACAGUAUUGAUUGUAUUACCAUUUUCCAGUAUGACUGCAGAACGACACUAUGUUAUCCAAAUCCUCAUUCUCCAGUUUGCGAAUAAUAAAUCAAUGUCUAAGAUCUUCAUGAAUAUAAGCAGUCUAGACUUCACAAGUGCAAUAUAUUGCAUGACCAGGGCGGAGAUGAUACAUUAUAGAGUACCGAGAAGAAUUCUGUGAAGUAAGAAAUCAAACUACAUUAGAAUAGCGAAGAUCAAAUAAAAAAACAAAUAAGAAAAUAAGUUUUCCUAAAAAUCCCAAUAAAUUAUAGCACAAUUUUGUAUUGGAAAAGUAUAUUUUUUUUGAGAGAGAUAGGUAGCACGCUACCCGCUUCGUUUAUUUCAUUUAGAAAUAAACUUAGCUAGAAAUGUGAAUCAACUAGGAUUCGAACUUGGGACCUCGGAUACCAACCACCAAGCCCUUUGCCACUUGCUCUAGGAACGGUCGGUGUGCACUAUAUAUUGUUAGGAGAAUGAACCAAAUGUAUUAUGGUAAAGUGAUAAGUUUCAUUAAUGGAGUACAUUGUAGGCAUUGAAAUGGUUUGUUGGGCUAUUUAUCACUUGAUUUUUUGUGGUUUUAUUACUGUAAAGUAGAAUUAAGAUCGACGACGCACGUCUAUGACUUGGUCAAUCUUAGGGUCAUUGAUUUCAUUGAUUUGUAAUGUUUCGAGAAUGCUCUAUAUUUUCUAUUGGAAAUGGGAAAUUGUCGCGGUACUACAUUUUGCUUUCAGGAUUACUAAAUUUUAUAAACUGAACCAAACAUUGUAAUUCAAUGUACACUGUAAUUCGCGAUUAUAUUACUGUAUUAAAUCAAAUGUGGUAAUGCAGCAUCAGUAGUAAUUUGAUUUAAAAAUCUCAAAUACCUAAUUAUGUCGAAAUAAAUCUGUAACGCUGCAUAACUUAAACCAAACGCGCCCUAAGAGGCAUCUUACAUUGUGGUUGGAUUGGAGGUUUUACCACAUCCACAAAUGAUGGGAAUAAGGUUUCCAUGAAAAUCCUUUGUGCCUUUCUGAUACAAAUUGUAUGGUAACACUCUUGUCACUUUGAAUAUAAAUAUGGAGGAUUUUCAGAGUGUUAAGAAUCGUUUGUCGCAGAAACCAUGGGAUUUGAAGCUUUGAACUCAGUAUCUUUUGCUCUGAUACCAUACGGAAAUUUUAGUUCCUGCAUGUUCGACCUAAAGUUUCUCGUAGUUUGCUUUCAAAGGAAAAAAUAAUUACUAUAACGUUCGACUCAUCAGUGUAGGUUUAGACGUUGUUUCUGUUAUGGUGAUAAGUGAUAACAAAUUCACAUACUAUUUGUCGAAAGGGUGAUGAUGUUUCAGCUCACUUUAAGGCCGUUGAAACUUAAUAAUACAGAAAAGCACUUAAACAAAUUUUUGUCAAAAGAUCGAUACUGUUUGUUCCUCUGAACAAAUCCCUAAUGAUGUUUGUUUUUCUUAUGCUUCUCAUGCACUUAAACAAAUUUUUUGUCGAAAGCUCGAUACUGUUUGUUUUUUCUUUACUUAAACACAGUUUCUUUCAGGAGAUCGAACUGAUGAAAGUGGAAGAACAAACCGUGAAGCUAGAGAUGGAUCUUUUCGUGAAGGAAAGGGAAACACUGAAGGUGUUGAAAGAACUAGAAAUGACAAAAAGGAUCGCCGACGACUUAAAGUUACAACUACAAAAGUUAACAUCUGAAUCUCCAUCUGCGACGAAGGUACAUCCUAUUCCAAACACCGAAGAAGAACGCCCCGUGAAUAGCAAUAAACAUUUUGAAGUAUUCCCUCGAAAUACCGGCGGCAAACAGUCUCCUGGGAAAACUCUGAUGGGAUUAGAGCAGGCAAAGGCGAACCUAAGCAGGACGACAAGCGGCCUAUCUGGAGUUCGAACAACAAUUGAAUCCUUGAAAAUGAAAAUAGAGAAAGAGAAGUCAUUGCGCGCAAAAACAGAUGAGAGGCUACAUUUAAAUAGAGCUACAGCUGCGUCCUUGGAACAAAUGCUAGGUAGAUACAUCGCCGAAUUGCGACUAAAGAGUGGCCCGAAAACUAUAAGCACUCAAAGUGCAUCGGAGGUUUGGGCUCGGAUCAGACAACUGAAUUCUGAGAAAGAGAAUUAUGUAAGAACGAUGGAAAACCAUAAAUCGGAUAUCUGUAAUUUGACUGCCGAGAUUGAACAGACGAAGUCGAGAAUAAAGACGGCGGAAGUGCGGCUAAUCCUGGCCAAGAAGAUGAAGGAGGCAUCGAAAGUUGCGGAAGCAAUUGCGCUUAGAGAAAUCAGAUCUCUAAGAGAGAAAUCAGAAACAGAUCCUUCCGAAGUGACACUCCCUGUUAAAGAUUACGCCACUCUGACCUUGAGAGCCCGAGAAGCCGACGAAAUUUCUAAAAAGAUAGUCGGUGCGGCAACGCUUGAAGUAGAGAGAGCGAAGCAAUCUAAGCUUGAGCUAGUGGAGAAGGUCGAGGGAGUAGAAGCAGAAGUUUCAACCGGAAGGAAAGCACUAGAAGAAGCGCUGAAGAGAGAAGAGGCUGCUAACGAAGUGAAGCUCGAAGCCGAAGAAGCACUCCGCAGAAUGCGGUCCGAACUUGGUCAGCAACGGCGGUCCGUUCACAGCUCCACCAAGUUCAAGAACUCCGCGGGGACGCAAAGAAGAGGAGGUUCUCAAAUGCUCGAUGUCAACGGGCUGAGUUUGGCGACGAGCGGGCCGCUGACUGUUUUGGGCUCGACGUUGUCGAUCGGGCAAAUACUUAGGAAGAAGCUGAUGGCUCCCGAAGAGCACAAAGUGCGAAUGAGCGCGAAAGGGAAUGGGAAGCCCAGGGUGUCUCUCGCGCAAAUUCUAGCCCAGAAGCACGAACUUUACUCGCCGCCGAGGAUAGACGACGGCAGCGCUCGCAAGCAUUUCUUCGCGAGGAGGAGGAAGUUUAGUUUCGCCGGUCUGGCAUUGCUGCUGGCGAAGCAGAAAAGGAGAAAGAGGAAGCAUGAUUUGAACUCUUAAGGUGGCCGGCGUGCGCCGAGAUUGCGACGUAGUUUAGUUUCACUUAGGUGGUUAGUGUAGAACUAGUAACUAUGUAAAUAAGCUAUAAAAGAACCAUAGUUCCUGGAGAAUGAUAUUUGCCUUGUAUUAUAAGUUAUUGUUUUAAAAUUUGCCUAUAACUGAUGCAUAAUACGUGUGGUUAGUGUUCUGGGCGUGAUCUUUAGGAGUGUCUAAUUGUUACUUAUGUAAUUAAAUAAUACUCUUAUGUAAUUAAAUAAUAGUUUAACCAUAAUGGUAAACAUAAAAUAUAACAACAACAACGUCGAUAUGUCCGAGUGGUUAAGGAGACAGACUUGAAAUCUGUUGGGCUUCGCCCGCGCAGGUUCGAACCCUGCUGUCGACGGAUUAUAAAUUUUAUCAAAAUUUUAAAUGGUGAAAUUUAAGAUUUAGAUUUGAAAUUUAAAAUUUGAAACUUAAAACUUAAAAUUUAAAAUUUGAAUUAGAAGAUAAAAAUCCAAAAUUAGAAUUACAUUUUGGGAAGCAAGUUUUAACUGCUUCUGAUUUUGUAACUUUUGAAAUUUAAACUUAAAAUUUUAGAUUGAAAAUUUAAAAUCUGAAUUUAUAUUUUAAAUUUGAUUCCAAAUUUUGAAUUUUGAGAUUUAAAAUUUAAUAUUUGAGAUUUAAGAUUUAAAUUUUAAAAUAAACUUAAAAUUUGAAAGUAAAAUGUAAAAAUUUGAAUUUAAAUUUAAAUUUUGAACCAAAUUUUAAAUUUAAAGUUAAAAUUGAAGUUCAAAAUUAGAAUUAGAUUUUAAAAAAUAGGUUUAGCUACUUCAGAUUUUGAGAUCACUAUUCGAAUCAGAUUUUAGAAAAAAAGGUUACCUAUGAUGCCCCGACUUCCUAGGGGGUCACCAAUUCUAGGACUACUCCUAUCAUAGCAUGCUUAACUCUCUUAACCUUUCCUCUUGGGCUUUACCACCAUCCAAAAUGCUUAAGCAGGGGUAAGAGUUUAACCCUAUUAUAUUUUAUAUAUUUUAUAUAUAGAACUAUCUGGAGUCUGACAAUCUCCCCCCUUUAAAUCAUGACGUACUGGUCAGGCUCAGACUCACAAGUAUCAAACGAUGUGAGACUCAUCUCGUGAGACUCAUCUCGCUAGCCUCCCUAGCUCAGCCGAGACUCAUCUCACACUUCCGGCUGGUAAUUGGAUAUCCUCAUUCCUAUCUGAUGUGGAAUUAUUGAGGUGUGACAGACUUUCUCUGUUAAGGCCAUGACGUCCUUGUCAGUCUAAUCACACACAUAAUCCAAAUUUAUCAGGCGAUGUGAGACUCGUCUCGCUAAUCUUGUCAUUCAGACCCUAGUAUAGUCGGUCAUCUUGUCAUUCAGACUCCGGCAUAAUCUAUUAUCUUAUCUUUCAGAUCUUGGCUAAGUCGAGACUCCCCACAAAUUUUCCUCUGGUGGAGCGGCUCUGAUACCAAAUGUAAUGCUCCGACUUCUUUGGGGGUCACCCAUCCUAGAACUACUCCCGUUUUAGCACGUUUAACUCUCUUAACCUCCUAGGCCUUGCCACCACCCAAAAUAUUUAAAUCGGAUUAAGAAUUUAGCUCUAUUAUAUCUUAUAUAUAGGACUAUUCCAGAUCUUACAUUAUCAUAUGUUUUGUUGAAAAAAAAAAAACUUUUAUCCCUUUUCACUUUCUAUAAUAUAUAGGACAAGCAUCCUUUUGUUUUUCUUUGGCUUAAGGCCCAGUUGUUUCAUGAAACGCUUUUUUUCUAAUUUUUUUAUUUAUCUGGUUAAGAAAAAAGCCUAUUUUAAAUUUCUUUCCUACAUUUUAGAAAAAGUUAUUGCUUUAGUUUUUCAAAAAAAAUUCACAAAACAAAAAUACUAUUUUUUCAUGCAAUAUGAAAAAUUUUAUUUUAAAAAAUUAAUUUUUUUGAAAUUAACACUAAAUUUUUUUUUCCAUAAAUAAUUUUUUUCAUGCGUUUUUUCAGAAAUCAAAUAAUUUUAUUUUCAAUAAAGUGGAUAACAUAUUAUUUUUUUCUCAAAAAAUAUAGUACAACUCAUUUUUUUAUCUUUUUUAUUUUUUAUUAAUUUGUUACUUAUUUUGUUUCCUCUAAAAUUUCUGGCAUCUUUGAACUUUCCCUGUUUACCCUUGCAUAGUAGAAAAUGAUAUGCCACCCAUAAUUCAACAAAAUUUUUUUUUUGAGAGAUAGGUAGCGCGCUACCCGCUUCGUUUAUUUCAUUUAGAAAUAAACUUAGCUGGAAAUGUGAAUCAAUUAGGAUUCGAACUUAGAUCUUGGGUACCAACCAUCAAGUCCUUUGUCACUUGCUCUAGGGACGGUCGGUAUAAUUCAAUAAAAUCAUUAACACAAAAAUACACAUAUGAUACAAAUCCGAAUAAUAAUGCAAGGUUUGAUAGAGCUCUUGUUUCCAUUUGUCCUCGUCCUGAAUAAUAUAGUAAGUAAGAGCUAAAAAUUAAAAAAAUUGGUUUCUUAUCCUGAAGAAAAUAAAGUGGAAGAUGGAAGGCUCUUUUCUUCGUAUAAUUCAUUCUGAUUCGUUAAAAUUAAAUCUAUCAAAAAUCUUCUUUUGCUUAUUUCAUUGAAAAUAAAGUUCAUGUUAAAAUAGAGUUUCGAUGAACUAGAGUAAUUAGAUGAAUAUUUUUUUUUUCCAUUGUUUGUUUGUUAGUUUUGGAACUAAAAUUUUUCGAUUCUGUUGAUUUAUUUUGCAAAAAAUUAAUGAUGCAAAAGUUAAAAAUAUGAUAGAUAAAUUAAUAUGUUAUUAUUAUUAUUAGGCUAAAUUAUAAAAAACCUUCAUGUCAAAAUUUGAUUUUUCAUUUUCCUCCCCUGUCAUUUUAAAAUCUACACUUUGCCUCCUUAUAAAAUGAAAAAUGUGCACCUCACCUCCUACCGUUAGUGAUCCGUUAUGGUUCCGUUAUAAAAUAUUUUUUUAUACCAAAAAUACCCCUCCGUCCUCUUCCCUGUUGCUUCGUCUCCCUUCGGCUCGCUGUCUCGCCGCUGCCUCGCCACCUCGCCCUCCUCCACUGUCUCGCCUUGGCCCUCGCCCACAUCCCCUUCGCCCUUCUCCGCCGCCUCGCCUUCGCCCUCGUUGUCGUUGCCUACCUCUCCAUCAGCGCCCACCUCGAUUUCAUCUCUACUGUCGCCGAAAUCGAGGGGGUGGCGAGGGUGCAGGAGAAGAAAGGGAGCAGGUGGAGAAGAAAAUGGAAAGAAAUCGCGGCCGAUCGAGGUGUGAAUCGCGGCCGAUGGAGGCGGCGGUUGAGGAAGAUGAGGGAGGAGACGAAAAUAGUGAGGGGCAAAAUGGUCAUUUUACACACCGUACCCCCCUGUGAACAUUUUUUAUUUUUACAAGGAGUUAAAAUGUAGGUUUUUAAAUGAUAUGGGGGGAAGUGAAAAAUCGAAUUUUGACAGAAAAGUUUUAUGUAAUUUAGCCUUAUUAUUAUUUGUAACUGAUUUCGGCAUAAAGUUAGCAAAAUAUUGUGCUAUUUUAAAAGUUUUGAAUUUAAACCGAUGGUAAAACUAUGAAAAAUCAAAUAAUAAAACUGAAUAUUUAUAGUCGCCACCCCACGUAGUAAGUAAAGAUAAAUUAUAUAAUAAAAAUUAGGAGCAAUUGCUUAUAUAUUCCUAAAAAAAUUUUAAUUUUCUGGUUUAUUUUUUUUAGAAGGCAAAAUAUUUUUUUUACGUUCCAUCCUAUUUCAAAUAUAUUUUUAGAGUUAAAUUCUGUUAAUGAACGAUUAACAAUAACUAUUAUCUGUAUAAAAUAACUAUUUUGUCCUUUCAAAUAUACUCUUUUACUAUCAACCGACUUUUCUUAUUUGUUAGGGGCAUAAAAAGUAUUCUUUAAUUUUUAGUCUUUUCAAGUAUACUUUUUUACCAUCACCAAUAUUUCGUAUAUGCUUUUAAGUUAAGAAUAAAAGAGGCAUUUUGAUUUUUUUAAAUUCUAGUAGAUAUUUAACUCGCGUUUAAUCUAAGUUAACUUAACGGGUGAUAACUGUAGGAAUAUUUUAGAAUAACGUAAGAUCAUGUAAGGAGUAUAUUAAAAAAAAUAAUAAUAAAUAAUAUAUUUUAAUCUAUUUUGAAUAUAUUAUGAUCUGUCAGUAAAACAGAUGCUCUUACUAUCGCUAAGAUCCGCUCUGUUGUAUCCAUAUUUAAAAUCUAUGUACAAAGCAAUCAAACAACACCACAAUUGAAACCGCGGGCCCCACCACCCUCCACAAAUCCCUCUCCCCUCUUUUUUUUUCUCUCUCUCAUUUUAUUUAUCUCUUCGCCUCCUUUUCCUCUCUCUCUCUCUCUCUCUCUCUCCUUCCUCUCGAAGAGUCCAUUUGCUACACGGAAAAUCGCUUUGGGCUUGUCGGUGAAGCUCUUAUCCAGCUUCUUUUUUUUUUCUUUUUUUUUUUUUUCUCACAGCUCUUCGUAUCCUCUUAGGUAAAAUUAUUUUCAGAUCUCUUCGAGAUUAUCUUGUGCGGNGAUUUUUUUUUUUUUUUUGCUUUUCAGUAGAUCAAUUCGAUCGUGAUUUAACGGGAAAAAAAAAAGAGUUGUUUAAUUUAGGCAUGAAAUCCCGUUUAGGAACUCAAGCUAAAAUCGUAGUAGUAAAAUUGUUUUGAGACCCCUUCUUAUGGAUCCAACUUGAAAUAAUACCUCGUUUUUAUUAUUUUUAUUGUUAUUUUAAAUUGGCUCUUCUUAAACUUUUGCUGUUUUGAUUUGCAAAUUGGGGAUUUUGUUAAAUUUGAUGGCUUUAUUAGGUAUGUGCCCUUACUUGUGGUAAGAAACAUGUUGGUUCAUUUGCCUAAAAGCGGUUAAAGCCAUUAAAUUUAACGAAAUCGCGGUUAAUUUUAACGUAAUGCUUAAUAAGGGACUAGAAUCAUUCAAAAAUAAAAAAAUUACAGUUGAAGGAGUGUCAAUUUAAAGGGGGAAAAAAAUGUAAAAACGUGCAGAAUUUACAUGAAGUAGGAACCAUUUUGAAUUGGCUAGCCAAUCUUUCAAAAUUUUAAUUUUACUACCCCGGCUUUCGAUUUGUUUGGAUGGUACCUUAACUUCAAAAUUUAAGCUAAUUAUUCACUUUAGUAAAUAUAUAGUUGUGAGAAUUAUAUGAAGUGUACUAACCAAAUUUGUAAAGAUACAUGACGCAUUCAAAUUUUGAAGCAAAUGUGUUUUUGACUGACUUAAAUCAAAUAAAUUGAAAGGUUGGAUAGUCAAUUUAAAAUUUUGAAUGAUUGAGUAGCCAACUCAAAAUUGUCCAUAGUUCAGGUAAGCUCUAUAUGUUUUUAUCAAAAAAAUGAGGGUUCAAUUGAAAUAAAAAUGAAAGAAGAGUUUAGUCAAACCCUAGAUUGAGUGCAAAUUUUUCCUUAAUUAUUUUAUUCUACAUUAAAAAAUUUCCACGAAUUGAUAUGGAAAAGGGUUAACAAUUGUAGUCAUGAAAGUUGUUAAGAGAGCUUUGAGUAAACUAAAACGCUCAAAUCGCCGUAGUUUUUCGGCAAGCACCGGUGACUACGUCCAUUAUACUAGAUCUAAUAUCUUUUUAUGAGUUAGUGAUAACCAAUUAUAGUUGUACGACUAACGAAUUAACUUGUGUUGAACAGGAGAAAAUGAGUUUGAGAGCGAAAUUCUUGUUCCUUGCACUGCUUUUCAGUUGGACAAUUGCCGAUGCGAGAAGUUUCGUGACCGCUGAUAUUAUAAGUACGGCACGAUAUGUUUCAGUUUCCUUUCUUAUAGUGCUGUGUAAAUUUCCUUUAUUUUGCUCAACUGAAAAGAAUAACUGUCUAUACAGCAAUUUAGUGACUAGUACUAAUUGUUAGUUGGUCUGAGGAUUAUGUUGGUUUAAUUAUGCAUUUGUUUUCGGCACACACCUGUUCUAAUCAUAAUUCCUUUACUUUUAUUUCAUAUAUUUUUGAAUUUAAAACAGUACAAGUCGAAAUAUGUAUCAGCGCUUACGUCUUCGCAGUCGUAAGCUAUACUGGCUACAGUAUAUGGCCAGAUUUCUUUGUGUAAUUACGUGCCAAUGUAAUCUCAUAAUCGAGUAUGUGUGUAGAUCACUAGUUAUGCUACAAUCUAUUUCAUUGAAGUUUUUGCCUCAUCUAACUCUUCUUUUCUUUCUUAGAACUUACAAGCACCAAGAAGUUAUAUAUACAGGAUCUUUCUUAGGACUUUCAACAUCUCGAUUAGCAGGAAAUACUUGAAUAUUGUUAAUCUAAAAACAUCUCUGAGGCACUGAUUGUGGGAAAAUAUCGACGAAUUGAACUUCUCUUUCAAAUUUUAAUUUUUUUAAAUUUAUUGCCCUCUGCUCUAGCUGUAUCAAAUGCUGUUUUGCAAGAAAAAGUUUUAUCUGAGGUUUAUCUUUGAAAAUUCUCAAUCCGAUACUUUUUAUAAUAAAGUUCAUUUUUCUCAUGCAAACGCUUAGACUCUUCUCUAUCAGCGCUUAUCACCCAACAUAAUGAUAGUCAUUAAUUUCUUGCAGAAUUGAAUUCCCUUAUGAGUGCAAGGUGAUAGUUGUGUUUCAUGCUUGCAGUUACCGAAAUAGUCCUUGAGACUCAGAUUGAGAAUAAAGUCCCUGAAGCACUUGAGCGAAACGAGCUAGUCUGUUCUAUGUGUGAAAACUUCACUGCUCAGGCUGUUGAUUACUUUAGUCAGAACAAGACUCAGGAAGAGAUAAUCCAGACCCUUCAUCAAGCAUGCGCCGAGCUGAAGUCUUUCGAACAACAGGUUGAUAGUUUCACUUUGUCAAAUAGUCCAAUUACUCGUUGAACUACAUCUAUUUGAUGGAACGUAUCAAUCAGCUCUCUUGGUCAAUGAGGUUUACCAAGGUUUUUUCUAAUAUUUCCACGUAUGGUUUCUCUCAGUGUGUUAUGUUGGUGGACUACUAUGCAACUCUUUUCUUUGUUGAGAUUGGAAACAUACGUCCGGAGGAGUUCUGCAGAAAGGUAAACCUCUGUGAGGGGAGUACGUAUAUCUCUCUUCCAAGGAGCAACAGUACCUGCGUGUUUUGCCACCAUUUAGUUGAAGAAGUGCUCGAGAAACUGAAAGAUCCUGAUUCCCAGGUACUGCUGUUUCAUUUUCUUGAUUACUUUUAUCUAAACCAGCAUAUUUUUUUUUUUACCUUCUUUUGAAUAUUAAAAAACUAGAUAUCGUUGAGUGAGGUCGCUAUAUUAUGUUGAAAAAGUUUUAAGUAGAUCAAAUCGAGCUCUUGCUCUUCUCUAGAAGGAAAAAACUUAUAUAGUUGCAUCAUUCAACUUCGGCUCAUUUCACGGUGUGUUUUUAGCACUCUAUUCGCAGAUCGAUGUCACACGGUAGGUUAUAUGUUUCUUAACUUAUCAAUUUUUUUAUAUGAAUUGUAUGCUUUUGUUGUUUACGGUUAUUGAGAGUGGUUUCUCUCCUUUUCCAAAAGCUUCCUUUGCUAAGUUUGAUUUGUUAUAUCAAUUUUCAUUCUUUUGUUGAUUCUUUCGCUUAAAUAUUCUUCUUCUCUGUUUGUGCAUUUCGAGGUGUUUGUUUUGGUCCUCAAUCAUCAGAGUACAAGUAUGCUAGCACUUGCAGAUUACUGGCGAACUGUCUGCAAAGAUCAUUACUCUCUCAUGCUAGCCAUAUGAAUUUAUUGCUGGGGCUUUUUCGUCGUUGAAAUGCCUAACUUUUUUGCUUUUUCCGUUCAUUCCAAAUUGGCAGCUCGAGAUAAUUCAAAUGCUUCUCAAGGAAUGCAACAAGAUGGAAAAUUAUGUCAAAGAGGUAAACUUUGUUAGCCGUAUACUUCCAAUGCUAGUAGAAUCCAUAUUAUUCCAUAUUUAAAUUCGGAAGUAUCAAGUACUAUAAAUAUGUCAUUGUUUUAGUCUUUAAGAACCGGUGUUUCCAUUUUGAAUCUUUUAGAAUUUCUAGCAUAUACGAAGUUGUAGAAUACCUAAACUUGUUUUCUUUUUUCUUUUCCUCAAUAAGACUAGGGUUCCUUUGUUUUACUUGAAUCAGGCUUAACCAAUUCCUCUGCAAUUUUAAAAAGUAAAUGCUUUUUGACCAUUCCUUAAACAGUGCAAGAGGGUGGUUUUGCAAUAUGGUCCUCUCAUCCUAGUUAACGGCGAGAAGUUCCUCGAGACGAACGAUCUUUGCGCCUCCAUCCACGCCUGUAAAGCUAGCCAACAGUUAUCUCUUCCCUCGAUCGAACAGGAAGCGGCGACAUUCGUGGCUGAAGCAUGAAGAAGAGAAAAAACGGCUUUGAAGAAGGAAAAGAUAACAGUUGCGGAGUUUAUUUUUAUCAUGAAAUCUCUCCCAUGGAUAGUUUUCACACAUUGUGUAACUAUUAUUUUGCCUAGUAUUCUUAAGACCUGGUUUGUAUAUAAAGUGUCGCGCCGCAUGUUCUGGUACAUUGCUUUAGUGCUUUUGCUACACGAAUUCUAUCUAUGUGUAUAAACAAUUUAAUCAGUAGUAGCUACUUUGUUUGCCAUUAUGUAUUUUCUGCUUCUUUCUGUGGCAAGUAUCUUAUGAUAAAGAGAUAAUAUCUAAUAUAUCUUUCAAAAUUUUAAAAAUAUUUAAUUUAUUUCUGGUUGUCGAAAAUAUUUUCAUGGAUUUUUUACUUUUUUUCAAAUUUUCGUUUAAUCUUAAAGUUUAUUAAUGGAAAGUUUAGAAAGGUAUUUUAGGAAUAUGGAGGUUAAAUUAAUAAUUUUUUUCCCCUCUGAGUCAACGAGGACGUUGGGGGAGAAUUUGGACCCUCUACAGAACGAAAAACUUUUUGCAUGAACCGGGUUUUCCACAUAUGACAUUAAUACGCUCUGAUAAGUGAUAACAGCUGUAGAACACCAUAACUUAUUUUUGUAAAAAUGUAUGGAGAUUAUUUUUGUAAAAAUGUAUGGAGACUCUCUCAAAUAUAGGAGGUUCUGAAAUAUAGUCAUCAAUUUUAUUUUAUUUUAUUUUUGGUUGACACCUCUUUAAUUUUUUUUUUUCAAUUUGAGAUUUUAAAAUUAAUUAAGUUAAAAAUUCUCAAUUAGUUUAGACUGUUAAGAUUUGAUGUGACUGUUGAUAAAUUUGAUAAAAUUUUUAACUUGGCUAGAAUCAUAUAAUUCUAAAAAAAGCAAAAGCUAAAUGGUCUACAAAAUAUAUUUACAGUUGAGGGGCUUAUUUCAGAAUUGAAUAUAGCGUGAGGGGGUCGCCAUACAUUUUUACCCAAAAAUGACUAAAUGAGUGAUCUAUGUAAUAAUAACAGGUGCACAAUGACGUGGUGGACCUGGGCCACGGAGUAACUCCUCGUUCCUUUCUCCUCCAUGAACUCUUCUAUGAACUCCUCGUGGGAGGAGCAUUCGAUUCCUCUCUCUCUCUCUCUCUCUCUCUCUCUCUCUCAUAGCAUUCUCUCUCUCUCUCUCUCUAGGGUGCGCGCGUUCGCGCGCGAAGAGCAUGGGGAUGCGCGCUCGGAUCGAGGCGAUCGUGGCCUCGAUCGUGACCGUCCAUCCCCACGAGAUCCCCUCCCUGAUCCACUCCGCCACCACCUUCUUCUUCGUGAGUUCGAUCCCCCCCUCACCCCCAAAUCCAUCCCCAAUUCGAUCUCUUCCCCUUUUUUUCGAUUUUCCGAUGUUUUAAUUCCGUGUUUAAACGUAAUUUUUUUUACAGAUUUUGAGCGCGUAUUUUGUGAUCCUACCACUACGGGACGAGGGCGCGAUCUCUCUCGGAUUGAGCAAUCUCCCCGGUCUCUUCGUGGGCUCGCUUCUCCUAACCCUCGUCGCCGCUCCCGUCUCAACCCUAAUUUUUUCCUUGCCCAAUCUCUCCAAAUCGAGGGUAUGUUUUCUCACCAAUUCGUAUUCUUACCCAUCUCUUCUAUCAAACAUUUAUUAUCCCUUAAUUUAUUUCCAUUUUUUUUUGGAUUGGUUUGGUGCGCAUUUUGGCUAUUUUCACUUAAAGGAAGCAAUUUUGAGUCAAAACAGUUUGGAGGUGGGAAAAGGAGCAAUUUGAAACCGAAACAAGGAUUAGGAACUCAUUUUGUGUUCAUCAUCUCUAUGAAAGAUUAAAAACUUAUCAAUUCACAAAUUAAAAGAUGCAAUUUUUAAUCUCUUAUCUGAAGAUAGUAGUGGUAUUAGUAAAAAAGAAGCUACUUUAACGAAAUAGCUCACUGAAACAAUACAAAAGAUAAAACAAAGAGUAGUAUCUUUUCCCAUCAGGGAUUGUCACUGUUAUUUUUUAUCUAUAUCAUUCGGAUGUAGCGAUAGAGUUUCGAUGUUGAUUAUGAAGUAACAUGAUCCAAUCAACACUUUAGAUUAUAGAAUAAUUAGUAGUAUUAAUCUUCUUCUCCAAGGCUGUAUUCAAUAGAGUAAUAUGCCAUCAAUGCAACUCAUUAGAGUAGCAAACUUAACUAUUGCAUAUUCUGCUUUUCGUUUAGACAUUUACCCUUCUAUGUUAUUUGUUUCCUCAAUAUGAUAUGAUAACUAUUAUGUUUGCAUCUAUUAUGUUUGUUGGGUUGAUAUUAGCAAGUGACUUAUCUGCCUCAAAUUUUAGGCGCUGGUUAUGAUACACAGAUUUUUCAGCAUAUCCCUUCUUAUAUUCUUUGUUCUUUGGUACGCCUCUUCACCUGGACGUUUACCUUUCCAGCCUAAGGUGAAUAACGACAACACGUGCGUAAUUUUGAUGAUUUUGCUAAUAAUAUAAAUGAGCUGAUGAACAAUUUCUUACGUAGGUCUCAGAUUUGAACUCACCUCUACCUGCAGAUGAGAAGCUCAAUUCUAGUAAAGAUGGUCAAAAUAAUUCUACACAAUGGGGUAAUCACGGGUUGUUCUACAUUAUAGUGAGGAUAUGCUUGUUUCUCUGGGUAUGCUUUUUAACUUUUUGUAUCUUUAUUCAUCUGUGAAAAAAGCUUGAUGUUUGACUGGGAAGUCAAUUUUUCUUCUGAAGGUUGCUUUGCUUAACCUUGUUACAAUCUCUUCAACCUGGGCGAGGGUUAUUGAUGUUAUGGACAAUGAGGUACUUAUAGUGAUUAAAAUGGCAAUUCGGGCCUAUUCGGCUUGGAUGGAGCUUCCACAGAAGUCAGUUUGAAUAGAGCUGUUUGAGAAAUAAUUUAUUUCUUUUUCUCAUUGAAAUCCUCUUAACAGCUUUGCUACAGCUAGAAGCAAAAGCUUUAGAUUCAAGCUUCUGCUUUUCAGGCCCAGAGCUUCUACUUCCUGCCACACUGGCACACUGGAAGCUCCUAACUUUUCUUUUGCCAAAUACCUGGUUUCUGUUUAUGAAGUACAGAAGCUCUCCCAGAAUUAAGGUAAAAAAGGCACUUACUAUGUCUUAUUUUUCUUUUGUGUUUAGUCAGGUUCAAGAUUGUUCGGUUUCAUUGGUGCUGGUGCAACACUUGGGCAGCUAUGUGGUUCAUUAUUCGCAGCAAGCAUGGCAUGGCUUGGACCAUGUAUAUGUGCUUUUCUUUUAUUAUCAUAUGUUAAACUUGGCACCGUUUGCUAACCCAUGAAAUAGAAGUUUCACCAACUCUUUCUUCAUCUCAGUUUUGCUCCUCUUUUCUGCUCUCUUGAUGGAGCUUGCUGCGCAAUCAUCAAAAGGAAUCAACCAUGAUGCUCAUCGCGGUUCUGAAGAAUUAUCUGUCAUCAGGUACAUAGUCUCUUUGGCCUUUGUGUAUAAAUUGUUUCCAUUCGCGAAUAUAAGAAUUCAUGUCAGAAGGUUUUCCUUGAUUUUUUAUUUUGGUGAUAUUUGACAUUUUACGAUAUUCAUAUCUUUUAUUUUUGUGAUUGUUUAAAUUACAUAGGGUUUACUUUUCUUUUUUCUGUGUAGACAAGAUACUGAAGAUCAGAAUGCAAAGAUUGAGGAUGAGACGUCUUCUUUAGUAGCCUCUUCACCUAGAUUACCAACAGAUAAACUUAAGCCCCAGCUUUUCAUCAUGUUUGAAGGGUUUUGGUUGAUACUCUCAUCAACUUAUCUCCUGUAUGUGUCCUUAUUUCUGUGGCUGAGUGCAGUCGUAUCUUCCUUAUUUUAUUUCCAGGUAUUUAGUUUGUAUCUUGUCAUUAAUAAACAAACUAUGAAUAUGUACAUAAUAAUAAUUAUACAAUAAAUUGUUUAUUUCAAUUACAUGUUGGUGUAAAAUUAAGAGUUGUUCAACCAAGGUUUAAGUAUUUUUCUUCUAAUUGUCAUAGUACAUCUGGUAAUAAAUUCUAAUGUAGAGGUCAUAUUAUCAAUUGCAGAAAGUAACAAUAAUCGCUAUGACUGUUACAAGCUCGCUUGCCAGAAGAAGAUUGUUUGCACUGAUAAACAGCUUCAUCGCUGUUUUCAUCCUUGCCGGGCAACUUACUUUAACGGUAUUUCUUUUUCUUCCUUGACUGUGCAGUAUAUCUUUAUGUAUAAAAUUCUUAAGAACAGAAAAAGAAAUUACUUGGUUACCUAAUUGCUGUGUGAAAAGCACGAGAAGUACUUUUAUGAUCCAACUUAUUACUUGUUAUUAGGCCAUCGUAUAAUCAUAGUCGUCAUGCGUGCUUAUAAGCAACUAGAUGGUUUUCUUGGAGAUUGUUGUAAGCAACGUAAUUAACUCCUGAUACCACUUCUCUACUAAACACCUCAGGGACGCAUACUCACGGUUGCUGGAGUUACUGUGGCUAUUUGUUCAGCCCCAUUUGUUGCAAUUUCCAAUUUGGUUGGUCUUGCUGUAUGGCCAACCUGGAUUGCUGUUGCCAUAUCUGAAACUCUUCGGAAGGUACGAAUUGGGAAUUAAUUGGGCAUUUUUAUUGAGGUCAAAAUGUUUGUAAGAUCAAGUAUUUAAUGCUUGAAAAACAAACAUGUAAACAUGGUUUUUGUUCUUACUAAAGUUGGUUGCCAUUUAAUCUUAAUGCCCAAUCACUAUUGAUAUGUAGUGUCUAAACAUCCUUGGAAGUUGGAACUUGGAAUGGGGAAACUUCUUUUUGUACCAUCGCCGUUAAACUUGAUUUUAAGGAACUUUAUAGUUUAUUAUUGUUGGCUUCUGUGGCAUGUAGUUCUUUCCAGUGGCAAAAGUGAAUAUGCAGUCUGUUUCUUCCAAAAGCAAAGUUGAAUGUAACAGUUCCUUUUUGAAAGGAUAAAGGAAUAUAUAUAAUAUCCCGACAAAAGAGCUAGUUACAUAUUAAUUUGCUUUAAAUUGAUAUUGGGAUAUUUCCUUUGCCAAUUGAAACCAUGUUGCUACCAUGAGAAGGAUACAAUUGACGAAUGUGUAGGCUUGAAAUAUAUCGCUCUCUGUAAUGUUGAAUCUGUUAUUAUUCAUCCACUGCUUGAAGAUCCCAUGGCAUAGAAAUUUUGUCCUCUGUAUUGUGCUGUAGCAGUAUUUGAUCAAUGAAGGAUAUACCAAGUUUGUUCAUAUAUAAGGUGGGAUAGACAGUUGAGAUCUAUUAAAAAUAUGCUAAUAAAUUAUUAUGGACGGGCUAUGCAUUUUUGCCUCCCUAAGGAAGAAGAUUUGGACCUAAUGUUCGAAGUACUUAGUAUUAUGCUGCUCAUUUAUCCUAUGUUAUUGACAAUUACUAUGUUGAGUUGAUGAAUCAGCUUUGAAGAUGUUCAAAAGGGAUUAUUUUCACUCGCAAACUUUAAGAAAUAUACAGCUUUGAAGAUGUUUAAAAUGGUUAUGUUAAAAUUAUUUCUCUGCCUUGCAGGUGACAACAUAUGUGGUAGCAAGACCUGGAAGGGAACUCUUGUUCACAGUUGUCUCACAAGAUGAAAAGUACAAAGCGAAGGUAAUAACCGUCCUAUAGUUCUUGCAAAUUUUGAAGUAGCUAAAGUAUGGCCUGCCCAUACAAUUAUUGGCCUGCAGUGUAAUACAUUUCUGGACGUUUUGUCAUCUAGAUGUUUUGGCCUUGUUAAUUAGGUUAUUGAAAGUUAUUAGGUCUUUGGAGUUAUGAUGAAAGAUAAUUAUAUCUGGAACUUUUGUUUCAGGUCUGUAUAGAUGUUAUUGUUCAAAGACUUGGCGAUGCAGCUGCUGCUGGAAUAUAUAAACUGCUAUUUGGCAACCUCAACAGCAGGGCUUCUAUGGUUUCUCUCUAUGCAUUACCAGUAUGUCUCAUACUCCUUACUAUAGAUAUAUUAGAGAGCAAACUGAAAUGAUCAUGUAUGUUUCUCAGGUUGUUUAUUUCAUCUUCUCUAUUUACGCUGUUGAUUCUUAGCUACUAUUUCCUAAGCUUCUGAUUUCUUUGCACUUUAUGCCACCCCUAUGCUGCUUAACACAAGUCCAUUUACAACUCACUUCUUGACUUCUCAUGAAAAGAUUUACUUCCAUAUGUUUUAAUGGUCAACGGCCUUAAAAGACCAGCACUAUCGCGGUGGAUAAUUUCACAUACUACCUUUCGGAAUCCUCUUAACUGGAAUCGAUUCAACUAACAAUGGUGUGGUAUUUGACUGGAGGUUGCCAUCGGUGAAUGCAAGGACAAAGAGAGUAAAAUAUGAUCUCCCAUCCAACUCGUCCAUUUAUGUAUGUAGAAGAGAUAUAGCCUAAAAUUUAAAUGGAGUAAUUAUGAUAAUUAGGAGGAAACAAAAUUGCGAUCUCAUAGACUAUUACAUUGUAUUGAACAAUAUUAAUUAUAUUGUUUUAUGAUCAUUCUAAUCUUGUUUCUUGCAAUUUCAGCUAUGUUUCCUAUGGCUGCUCACAGCAUUCCAUUUGGGUCGGCAGCAAACAAACCUUGCAAAGCUUCAAGCUUCUUCUAUACACUAGAUUCUGUUAAGAUAAUCAAAUAGGUAUGUUAAGCUUUUCUUUUAAGUCACAUCCUAUAGGAGCAUGUUUGUUUUACCGAAACUGGAGGGGGGUGAAGUUGUUUUCGGCCGUAUAUGUCUACUUCCGUGGUUUGCCAUAAAUUAAAUUCUCUUGUAACUCCACUUUUCCAAAACGCCAUGAGUGACUUCGCCACAGGUUGUGCCAAAGUCCAGUAUAGGAGAGAAAGAUACAGAAAAAAAGAAUAAAAAUUGAUGCACUAGUGUAAAAAAUUUUAGUAAAAUAAAUAGAAAUGUUGGAUAAUUAUAAUUCCAAAGUCAUCGACUUACUUUCAGACAAACAACAGUGAAAAAAAAAAAAUUUUCUCACAUGAACUUCAGUUUAACUGAAAGCCAUUUUCAACUUGAAAAUCACUUACACGUAAACAAACAGGCCAUAAGUGAUUUAACUGUUCGAGAUUUUAUUCAUUUUGCAUCGGUGGACUAAGAAAGCUAUAACACUUUUGUCUCCUUUCGUCGCAGAGGGUACAGUAUGCUGCUUCAUCCAAAGGCUAAGAAACAGUAACACGACAACGUCGAAAGAAGAAACACAAACCGCAACGGCAUCGGGGAGCCUUGUUGUAUAUAUUCACGACAGUUUAUUUAGCUGUUUUAAAUUUUGAGGGGAAGAUGAAAAGAGCCUUUCCGUUCUUGUGUACAGUAGGCAUUGGUCUUAAACAAUUUGAUGAGUUUUAUGAGAGAGUUAUUAUUUUGCUGUAGUAGGUCCCAAUGAGCACACUAUUCAUAUGUAAGUUUAAAGGGCAAAUGUCCCUUGUCACCUUUUUAUUUUCAACAUAUUUGAGGAUGUGAAAUUGGUUUGCAUCCUAAGGAAGCCCCAUAUGGAUUUGUCUAUGUUUCUAGUCUCCUUAAAUGAGAGCAAAAAUGGGUUGUUAUGAUUUUUUUAAAAAAAUUUAAGGAAAAUUCUUGUUGAUUAUCCAUUCCUCUCCUAAAAUAGAACUUGAAUGAGGAGAUUAAUUUCUGUUAAAUAUUUUUAUUUACCAAAAAUAUUGAUUGUCGAUUGCAGAUUUAUUCUGCAACCUUAAAUUUGUACUCCGCUGAGCUUUCCGUGCAAUCAAGACUUGUUUGGCUUGGCUUCUGAUUUUGCUUCUGACAAUGCAGAUUCUAAGCGAUUUUUUGACGAACGAGAGCAUUUUGAGCUUUUGCGGUACCAAAAAACAAAAAAGUUCUUAAACCUCGAAAGCUCAAGUAAUAAUACAGUGUAUUGGUUAAAAUAGAUUCAACUUUUUGUUCUGUAAUAAUUAAUCCAAAAAUUUAAUAAAUUGAAUUAGAUUGAGCCUAAUAAGUCGAAUAGGACUCUGAUUUUUAAUAGACGUAACAAUAAAAAAAUUGACAUACAUCCAACAUUCAGACUCGCGUGAGUAUUGUGGCUGAUCCGUAAGUAUGAUGAGUGCGUCCUUCUUAUUAGAACAUAUUUUUAAGAUAGCUGAUUAGUACUUCGGUCCACACUGCCGGACACAGUAAAAUCAAACAGUUUUUUAAAUAGCAACAAUAAUAAUAAUAGUAAUCUGUACUUGCCCCAGCAUCUUUGGGCAAAUGAUGAAGAAUUCAAAAGUCACAUCACAACCGAAAUCCUAAAGUCAAAUUAGGGAAAAUCUUAAACCCUCUUUUUUUUUUUUUUUUUUUUUUUUUUUUCUUCUGACCAAUCACUCAAUGCCAUACAAUAUGUAAUAGGUUUCACGAGUGGUGUGUGUGAAAGGAUCAAACCACAUUAAAUGGUUAGGUCGAGUUCACAUGAGUGGUAGAACCUCCUCAAACCCCCUCAAGUUUUAAUUACUUUGGAAUUUUUGUAAACUGAAUUAUAAUAUUUUCUUUCGUUAAAAAUUUUAUUGAAAAUUAUCAUUCUUUUUUAGCCUUUUAAUUAUCAGUUAUUCAUAUUUCAUCCUUGAAUUCGAUGAAAUCCUUAAAUUUUUUUCUUAUUAUACUACUUAAUUUUAAAACAUUCAAAAUUUCAAAAAGACCUAUAGUUGAGGUGUCUCCAUAUAUUACAUGGAUUUAUUAUUCCACUAGUGUGUCUCUAUUUGUGUCCACCUAGCCCUAAGUCAUGUGAAACCCUUUUUCACGUUACUAAUUAGGAAAAAAAAAAAAAAUCCCAAGCGUGUGAUCCAAACCCAAUCCACACGCAACAACUCUUCUUAUCCAAAAAAAAAAAAAAAGGAGUACACAUACUCAUGCACUAUGUAGAGUAAAUUAUACAAAUAUACCUCAAACUAUUGUGUGGAUUGUAUUUUAGUUUCUAACUUUAAUUUGUUGUACUUUAAUUCUCAAAUUAUUAAGUAAAUUGCAAUAUGAGUUAUUUUGUUACAUUCUAUUAUCUUUACACUAUUUGAGAAUUUGAAUGAUAGAAAAUUUUGAUUCCUACGAUUGAGAAGUGAUUUUUAGUGCGUUAGACAAAAAAAAAAAGAAAAAGUAUGUAGUAGAAUUUGCAAUUGGGAUCUAAUUUUCGAUGAACUAAGUAUCAAUUAACUAUAAAUAAUGAUUGAUAAUGAUACUGUCACUUAUUAGAAAGAUUAAAUGGUACAAUUUGAUCAAUUCAAUUGUUGAAAUUUAAGCCACAAAUAAGAUCUAAUGAGAACUAUUUGUAAAACUAAUAAAUGUGUGUUUUUUUUUUUUUAAAAAUCUAUUUUGUUUCUAUUUGUGAAAAAGGGAACUCCUAGUCCUCCUAUUAUUCAGAAAAAAGAAUUUAAGCAAUUAUUAUCAGUUGAGACUGGAGCUCACAGUUCACACUGAAAUUUGACCCAAAAAGAGAAAAAUUUAAAUAUGAUUUUGCUCACACUUAUUUAAUAUCAUAGAGCCCCACUCAUAUCUCUAUUUUUAGAAGAGAACAUGUGUGUAGCUCUUAAGACUUUAAUGGAAAAGCUAUUAAUUAGGGAAAACUUCAAAAACCCUCCCGUGGUUUUGUAGUUUUUCACUUUGCUUCCCUGUAGUUUAAACUGUAUCAAAUUGUCCCUCUGUGGUUUCGUUUUAUCUUUUCGGUAGCUUUUUCGUUAAUAUUUUAUUAAAUUAUAUACAAAAAACUUCAGAUGCCCAUCUAGAUUUAUUAAAUAUUCACUUUAGUACCCUUUAAUUUUAACUUUAUCACUGAUUUAAGAAAAAAAAAUUAAUGAAAUUGAUAAAAAAAAGAGAAAAAAGAAACCACAUGGGGGCAAAUUGAUACAUUUUAAAUCACAGGGGGGCACAAUGAAAAUCUACGAAACCACAAGGGGGGUUUUUGAAGUUUUUCCUAUUAAUUAAAACUUUGUUGAAUAGUG